rnacentral:lncRNA from 1 species
UAUUUGUACUUAUAUUUUAAAAAAUAUUAUUAAUUUCAUACAAGUCCCUACAAAUAUAGUAAAUUAUAAGUGUAUUCUUACAAAAUUUACCUCUUAUUUAUUGGUCUAUAUAAAAGUCUUAAUAUUUUCAAAUAUAUCCCUUUGGUUUGUUACCGUUAAAAUAACAUCUAUUUUAUAAGUGGAAUAAUCCUUUUGCCAUUACAUAUAUCCCUCCAAAAAUUCCAACUUUUAAUUGAAUAAGGGUAAAAAAGUGAAUUCACCUCAUUAACUAACUAGAGUUAAAUAUUUAACCUAUGGUUAACUAAAUAUUCCUAACGGAUUCUAACGGUAGGCACAUAUUUGAAAAUAUCUAAAUUUUUGCAUGAAUAACAUAUAAAAAUUAAACUUUGUAGGGAUAUAUUUGCAAUUCACUNAUAUAUAUAUAUAUAUAUAUAUAUAUAUAUAUAUAUAUAUAUAUAUAUAUAUAAAAUUUUUUCUAAAUUAACCAUUCGCAAUGUUUCCUUCAUUGUUGAAUAUGGGUUCCACGUCGAACCGUCUCAAAUCCUCCAUAUAUUUUUCUUUUUUUUUUUGCUUAGAGCGAAUCGGAUUUUUUUUCUUGAACCGAUCCGAUCAUUGUUUAGUGUGAGCUCCCCCAGACCGAUUCAAGUUUUCUAUAUAUAUAUUAUUUUCUUUACUUAAACCAAACCUGAUUUCUCUCUUUCUUUACUUCAACCGAAUCGGGUCAGCCUGUUGCAUUGAGCCGAAUCAGCCCAACUACUCUCCAUGUUUCUAUCUUUCAACUAAUUUUUUGUUUUUCUUUAUUUGAGCUGAUCACUGUUGAAUGUAAACUCUGCCUCGAACUAACUCAAAAUUUUCUUCUGUUUGCUCGAAACAACUCGAAUUUUUCUUUUUAUUUUUUUUAUUUUUUUGGCUCGAACUGAUCAGGCUCAAGUUUUCCUUCUUUUUCCUUAAAAUGAGCCGGAUUUUUUUUUUGUCUUGAAUCGAAUCGAGUCACCGCUUUGUACUAGGCGUAGUUGUUCCUCAUCUUCUUUCUUAUACUGUUAUCUUUUUUCAUCGACAAAUUAAAUUUCGUUUCUCGUCGCUUCUUCUAUUAACUUUUUUAUUAGUUUUUUAAUUAUUUAUUCGCCGUAUUGUACAGGUCAUCGAAACAGCUGAACGAUCAUCCAAAUACAGCACAAUAAUAUUUUCAAACAAUAAAUCUUAAUAAUAAUUAUCUUUUUUUAGUGUACUUUUAUUAUUUAAUAAUCUAAAAUUCGCUGUCACCAACUGUCUCUCAUUUUUCUUUUUUUCUUUUUUUAAGUAUAAAAAUGUACGAAAACAAAAACUAUUUUGGAAUAGCCUUCUUAGCCUUUUUCCUCUCGUUAUUAUUCCUCAAAAAUUUUAUAUUUUUUUAAUUUAAUCUAUAUUUUAGUUAAACAAAUUAGAAUCUAAAGGCAACUAUAAUUUCGUUAAAUUUAAUAGCUUUAAUUACAUUUUAGAUAAUAAAUCUGCAAUAAUUAAUUAAUAACAAUAUAAAUUCAGCAACCAUAAUUUCUAUACUUUUUAGUAAAAUAAAAUUAUAGUUCAUAAUAUUUUUCUGAUCUCAAAUUUUUACCUAUUUUUUACACUUUAGUUUCCAACAUUUUAAUUUUUUUGUAAUUAAUUCUGUGAUCCCACUUAAUAUAUCUGUGAUAAUUAAUUUGUUUCUAGUUUAAUUUAGCGAGAUUCAUUUGAAACAAAUUAUACAUUCAAAAAUAUGAUUGUAACAAAAAAAAAUAUAAUAUAUAUUAAAAAUUUUUAAAGUGAAAAAGUCGAUAAAGAAUAGGACCAUGAUGCAAUUAUUAUUAUUAUUAUAUUAUUAUUAUUUUUCAAUCCUUAUCCAGGUAACAUGCAAUCCAACGUAACGCCAAAACAACUAAUUUAUUACGUCCCAUCGAAUGUGUUUUGUUUUAUUUUUUUUUAUUUAAUGUUUUCAUGAGAACGUACGACUUAUAUCUUAUUUUAUAUUUUAGUACACAGGAAUAUAUUUUCUUUCACAGCUAAAGAUGCUUAUAUUAUCUUUAUGUAUAUUUUUUGGCUUAAUUGUAUACAUGUCCCCACAAAUACAGUAAAUAGCAUAUAUAUUUCGGUAAAGUUUAAUUUUUAUAAAUUAUUUUUGUAAAACUCUUAUUAUUUUCAGAUAUGUUCCUGCUGUUAGAAUCUGUUAUAAAAGUUUAGUUAACCAUAGGUUAAAUACUUUACUCUAGUUUAUUUUUGACAUUUUUAUCCCUCUUAUAUUAUACUGUUAUAAUUUUUGGAGGAACAUAUUUGCUGUGGUAAAAUUGAAAAUAUAAACAGUUUUCUAACGGUUCUCUAACGAUAAUAAAUCAGAAGGAUAAAUCUGAAAAUAUUAGAAGUUUUGUAAUAAUAAUUUAUAAAAGUUAAAUUUUAUAAGAAUAUAUUUAUAAUUUACUAUAUUUUCAGAGACCUAUAUAUAAUUAACCCUAUAUUUUUAAUAAGUAUGUAUAAAAAAAUCCCAAUUUAUAUAUUAAUUUAAGAGGGUGGGAUAUUAUUGUCACCGUCCUGCAAUAAUGCACAUAAGAAUUAGGGAUGUUAACGAGUCGAACUCAGAAUGGGUUUUCAAAAACUCGAACCCAAACCUGCUAAACCAAAUUUGAAUCCCAAACCCAAAUCCAACAGAUUUAAAUUAAAAUCCAUAUUCAAAUCCGAACCCAAAAAUUCGAACUCAAAACAAUUAUUUCUUUUUACCGUAUUUCAAAACAUAUUAUAUUAAAUCUAAAUUUUUAAAAUAUAAAUUCAAAUAUAAUUAGGAUUUGGGUCAAGUUCGGGUUCAAGUUGGGUACAGACUAAAUUCAUAUCCGAAUUCAACAUCAGUUGGGUUUUCUUUUUUUAUACCCGUAUCCAAAACUAUAUCUAUUUAGCCAGUGACGAAGUUAGGACUUGAUUACGAGAGGGCCAAAAUACAUAUAAAUUAAAAUUUUAGCAAGUAAAUAAAAUAUACCUAAUUAAAAUUUUGAUGAGAAAAUAUAUAACCUAAAUUGUUAGUGUAAAAAAAACAUUACCUUUUUUUUUAUUUAGACUUACUUAACUUUUAAUUAUUUUAUUUAUAUUAUUUCACUCAAAUAAUUUUAAAAUUUACUAAAUCUAAAAGUAAUUCAGUUAAUAAUUUAAUUUCUUAAUUUUUACUAAAUACAAUUGUGAUAAUUGAUUAUUAUUAGUUGACUAAGCUAUUAACUUUAAUAUAAUUUUUUUAAUUAAAUAAAAAUUUAUCUAAAAUAAUUAGAAAUUAUGAAAGUAUGUACUAAACAACAAAAAUUAAAAUAAAUUUAGAGUUGAGAAAGUAUUAUGUUCAUGCCGGAACUUUUUUAAAAGAUAGGUCGGUCAAAUAUACUUUAGAGAUUAAAGUAAAAUAAAUCCUUGAAAUUUUUUAUAUGAAAAGGAUAUAUGUGCAAAUUUUGAAAAUCUUGGUGGGGGAGGGCAUGGCCCCCUCAGCCCACAUAUAGCUCCGCCCCUAGCAUCAAUAUAUUCGCUCUGUUCGGUUACGUAUUCAGAUAAAAUUUCAGAUAUCCACACACGACGACGCGUACGAUCACCGGGAGGUGACGGAUUCGGGCUCUUCUCACUAUUUAUACCUAACAACCUGAUAAGCUAGGUGGAGUGUGUCACCACAACUCACAAGAGAAGUGCUAUUUUUGAGUUACUGAGAAAGGAGAGUCACAUCUUAUUAAUAUCAUCAUAUAAUUUUGGUUCUUCAUUUUCACAUAUAUUAGAGCAUGGAUCCUUACCAGGUUUGGCCUUUUACCAUUAUUAUUUUUUAAUUUUUUUUUUCAUUUUAUGUAGAAUAUAUUAUAUAUAUAUAUAUAUAUAUAUAUAUAUAUAUAUAUAUAUAUAUAUAUAUAUAUAUAUAUAUAUAUAUAUAUAUGUGUGUGUGUAGUUUAAUUAAGGAUCUUUCUUGAGUUUAAUGUUGAAGUUAUGGGGCACUAAAAAUAAGUAUAUAUUUAGUUCAUCAGUGUUUUUCAGUUUGCAGCGAUGCGAUCGUGUUCGUAGCUAUCGUUUUAAACGAACUAGAUUUGAUUUUUACAAAAGCAACUGUUUUGUAAAUGAAAUGAAAUAGUAUGAAGAUUAAACCAUGCACGCGCCGCGGAUUUAUUUAUUUUUUAAUUAGCUAAAUGAUUGAUCAACAAACUAAUUUAUUUAAUUAAGAUGUGCAUCUCUUUUGUAUUUGAAAUACUUUGUUAUUUUAGAGCGUCACACUACGUAAGUUCUCUGAAUCAAUGUUCUGCUCUGAUCGAUUUGAUCUAAAAUGUUUAGAAUAUUCAGAAAGUAAAUUAUGUAAUUUCUUAGAAUUAUUUAUUUAGUGAUGAAAAGGAUUCAAAAUUAAUUAUUAAUAUAUCGUUAAACUUGUAAUCAAUUACAUAGGCUGUUAAAAUUAUUAUUUUUGAAUCUUUUCGAUCAUUAGUUAAAUAAUAUAAAAAAAAACUAUAAAAUUUAUUUUUAUAAAUAUUUUAAAUAAUCUAAACCAUAUCUAGUGAAACUUAUCUUCAACUCAAAAUUUUCAUAAUUAAAAAUAAUUUAAAAGUACUUAAAGCAUCGUACUCUUUAAAGCACUUCAAUUAAACUAUAUAUAUAAAUACGAAUAAUUGCAUAUGUACUCCUCAAAAUUUCAAAAAUAUCUUAUUUAUUCUUACUUUUUUUUUUUCUUUUCAAUAUAUCCCUUAUAUAUUCCUCCGUUAUUCUAAAACACCGCUACAGUUACCACCAGUUAAAUUAACUUAGUUUAAACGUGAGUUAAAUAUAUGUUAAAAUUAAAAAAAAUAAAAUAUCUCUUUUGUCCUUAAUUUAAAAACAAAUAAGAAAUAUUGGUGAUGAUAGAGGGUAUAUUUGAAAAGACCAAAAGUCAAAAUACUUUUUGUAUCCCUAACUUAGGAGCAAAUAAAAAAAGUCGAUGAUGGUAGAAGGGUAUAUUUAAAAGGACAAAAUAGUAAUUUUAUACCGAUAACAGUUAUUAUUAAUAGUUUAUUAAUAUAAUUUAACUCUAAAAAUAAAUUUAAAUGUAAAAACUGUAUUUUCAAUAUUAAACUUCUAAGAUAUGUAAAUUAGAAAAUCGAAAAUUUUUCCUAAACUAUAUAUAUAUAUAUAUAUAUAUAUAUAUAUAUAUAUAUAGAGUCCGGCUAUGGUGAUUGUAAAAGUACCAAGUAUUUGGUGCUUGUAAAUUUUUUACCGUUAGAUCUAUGCCUUUGAUCAUUUUCAUCCGUUAGAUUAUACUAUUCAACCAACCACCCACUCAACCCUAGGGGGCCCACAUCAUCUUAACCGCACAUCCCUUAAUCNCCUCUUAUAUUAUACUGUUAUAAUUUUUGGAGGAACAUAUUUGCUGUGGUAAAAUUGAAAAUAUAAACAGUUUUCUAACGGUUCUCUAACGAUAAUAAAUCAGAAGGAUAAAUCUGAAAAUAUUAGAAGUUUUGUAAUAAUAAUUUAUAAAAGUUAAAUUUUAUAAGAAUAUAUUUAUAAUUUACUAUAUUUUCAGAGACCUAUAUAUAAUUAACCCUAUAUUUUUAAUAAGUAUGUAUAAAAAAAUCCCAAUUUAUAUAUUAAUUUAAGAGGGUGGGAUAUUAUUGUCACCGUCCUGCAAUAAUGCACAUAAGAAUUAGGGAUGUUAACGAGUCGAACUCAGAAUGGGUUUUCAAAAACUCGAACCCAAACCUGCUAAACCAAAUUUGAAUCCCAAACCCAAAUCCAACAGAUUUAAAUUAAAAUCCAUAUUCAAAUCCGAACCCAAAAAUUCGAACUCAAAACAAUUAUUUCUUUUUACCGUAUUUCAAAACAUAUUAUAUUAAAUCUAAAUUUUUAAAAUAUAAAUUCAAAUAUAAUUAGGAUUUGGGUCAAGUUCGGGUUCAAGUUGGGUACAGACUAAAUUCAUAUCCGAAUUCAACAUCAGUUGGGUUUUCUUUUUUUAUACCCGUAUCCAAAACUAUAUCUAUUUAGCCAGUGACGAAGUUAGGACUUGAUUACGAGAGGGCCAAAAUACAUAUAAAUUAAAAUUUUAGCAAGUAAAUAAAAUAUACCUAAUUAAAAUUUUGAUGAGAAAAUAUAUAACCUAAAUUGUUAGUGUAAAAAAAACAUUACCUUUUUUUUUAUUUAGACUUACUUAACUUUUAAUUAUUUUAUUUAUAUUAUUUCACUCAAAUAAUUUUAAAAUUUACUAAAUCUAAAAGUAAUUCAGUUAAUAAUUUAAUUUCUUAAUUUUUACUAAAUACAAUUGUGAUAAUUGAUUAUUAUUAGUUGACUAAGCUAUUAACUUUAAUAUAAUUUUUUUAAUUAAAUAAAAAUUUAUCUAAAAUAAUUAGAAAUUAUGAAAGUAUGUACUAAACAACAAAAAUUAAAAUAAAUUUAGAGUUGAGAAAGUAUUAUGUUCAUGCCGAGAACUUUUUUAAAAGAUAGGUCGGUCAAUAUACUUUAGAGAUUAAAGUAAAAAUAAAUCCUUGAAAUUUUUUAUAUGAAAAGGACUAUAGUGCAAAUUUUGAAAAAUCUUGGUGGGGGAGGGCAUGGCCCCCCUCAGCCCACAUAUAGCUCCGCCCCUAGCAUCAAAUAUAUUCGCUCUGUUCGGUUACGUAUUCAGAUAAAAUUUCAGAUAUCCACACACGACGACGCGUACGAUCACCGGGAGGUGACCGGAUUCGGGCUCUUCCACUAUUUAAUACCUAACAACCUGAUAAGCUAGGUGGAGUGUGUCACCCACAACUCACAAGAGAAGUGCAUAUUUUUGAGUUACUGAGAAAGGAGAGUCACACUCUUAUUAACUAUCAUCAUAUAAUUUUGGUUCUUCAUUUUCACAUAUAUUAGAGCAUGGAUCCUUACAAGGUUUGGCCUUUUACCCAAUUAUUAUUUUUUUAAUUUUUUUUUUCAUUUUAUGUUUAGAUAGGAUAUAUAAUUAUAUAUAUAUAUAUAUAUAUUAUAUAUAUAUAUAUAAAUAUAUUAUAUAUAUAUAUAUAUAUAUAUAUAUAUGUUGUGUGUGUGUUUAAUAAGGAUCUUUCUUGAGUUUAAUGUUGAAGUUAUGGGGCACUAAAAAUAAGUAUAUAUUUAGUUCAUCAGUGUUUUCAGUUUGCAGCGAUGCGAUCGUGUUCGUAGCUAUCGUUUUAAACGAACUAGAUUUGAUUUUUACAAAGCAACUGUUUUGUAAAUGAAAUGAAUAGUAUGAAGAUUAAACAUGCACGCCGCCGCGAUUUAUUUAUUUUUUAAUUAGCUAAAUGAUGAUCAACAAACUAAUUUAUUUAAUUAAGAUGUGCAUCUCUUUGUAUUGAAAUACUUUGUUAUUUUAGAGCGUUCACAUACGUAAGUUCUCUGAAUCAAUGUUCUGCCUGAUCGAUUUGAUCUAAAAUGUUUAGAAUAUUCAGAAAGUAAAUUAUGUAAUUUCUUAGAAUUAUUUAUUUAUGAUGAAAAGGAUUCAAAAUAUUAUUAAUAUAUCGUUAAACUUGUAAUCAAUUUACAUAGGCUGUUAAAAUUAUUAUUUUUGAAUCUUUUCGAUCAUUAGUUAAAUAAUAUAAAAAAAAACUAUAAAAUUUAUUUUUUAAAUAUUUUAAAUAAUCUAAACCUAUCUAGUGAAACUUAUCUUCAACUCAAAAUUUUCAUAAUUAAAAAUAAUUUAAAAGUACGUAAAGCAUCGUACUCUUUAAGCACUUCAAUUAAACUAUAUAUAUAUAAUACGAAAAUUGAUAUGUACUCCUCAAAAUUUCAAAAUAUCUUAUUUAUUCUUACUUUUUUUUUUUCUUUUCAAUAUAUCCCUAUAUAUUCCUCGUUAUUCUUAACACCGCUACAGUUACCACCAGUUAAUUAACUUAGUUUAAACGUGAGUUAAAUAUAUGUUAAAAUUAAAAAAAUAAAUAUCUCUUUUGUCCUUAAUUUAAAAACAAAUAAGAAAUAUUGGUGAUAUGAUAGAGGGGUAUAUUUGAAAAGACCAAAAGUCAAAAUACUUUUGUAUCCCUAACUUAGGAGCAAAUAAAAAAAGUGAUCGAUGGGUAAAGGGUAUAUUAAAAGGCAAAAUAGUAAUUUAUAUACCGAUAACAGUUAUUAUUAAUAGUUUAUAAUAUAUUUAACUCUAAAAAUAAUUUAAAUGUAAAAACUGUAUUUUCAAUAUUAAACUUCUAAGAUAUGUAAAUUAGAAAAUCGAAAAUUUUUCCUAAACUAUUUAUAAUAUAUAUUAUAUAUAUAUAUAUAUAUAUAUAUAUAUAUAAAUACGUAUACACGUGGAGACAAGAAUCCGUACAAAAAACAAUUUUGGACGUAUACGUUAAUGUUUACUGUUCACUAUUUGAGUAGCUUUCCAUGAUAAAUAAAUAAAUAAAUAAUAAAAAACAAAAAAAAUAAUAAUAUAAUAAUAUAAUAUAAUAAUAAGCAAUAAUUGAGUAGGCAUGUACAGUGUUAGGGUGGCCCAUAGGCCAUAGCUAGCAAAAGAUAAUAAUAAUAAUAAUAAUAAUAAUAAUAAUAAUAAUAAGUAGUGUUACGUAUCUUUUAAAAUAUUUUUUACGUGAAUUUAAAUACGGACAUAAAAUAUAUAAAUUUAAAUUAAUUCGUACAUAUUCUAUUAUUAAUUAAAGGGCAUGUACAACGCAUGUUACAUUUACUUUUAAAUAGUUAAUUUAAAAUAAUUCUAAAAUUUAAAAAUAUAUCGUUUUGAGAACACAAUUUUAACUAGAAAAACUAUAUGCAUAUUAUAUAUAUAUAUAUAUAUAUAUAUAUAUAUAUAUAUAAUAUAUAUAUAUAUUAUAUAUAUAUAUAUCUUUUUUCUUAAAUUCCAAAUAGAUUAUUAACACAUAGUUAUUGUAACAUAUAAAGUUUUCAAUGAUAAAUGAUAAAUUCGUAAAGAUUAAAUGGAUUCGUGGUUGUUUUUUUUUUUUUUUUUUUAUUUGGGAAAGUUUAGUUGUGGGAGCCUAAUAUUUGGAAAAUAGUAGAGAUUUUGCUGGUAAAAAAUUUUAUUUUUGUGAGUUAAUUUUUUUUUUUCCAAUCCUCCCAAAAAUUGUAAUUAGAUGCUCCUCUUAGAGGAAUAAUUUUAUUCUAUUACAUCAAUUUAAUUAUGUCAAAAAUUAAAUUAUUAUAAAAGAAAUAUUUUAUUACAAUAGUUUUUGUCGUCGUGAUAACACAAAUCAUAUUAUUUAGUUAUUUAUCACCACGAAAAUUUAUAGAAAUAAUUUACAACGAUUCUCAUUUGUUGUAAAAAAAUUAUUAUUUCAACUAAUAAUUAUCAAUUAUAACAGUAUUUAUUGAUAGAAAAGAAUAAAUCUCAACUUAAUUUAUAAGGUUAAAUGCAUAUAGGUCCCUGCAUGCAAAUAUAGUGAAUUAUAAAUAUAUUCCUCCAAAGUUCAACUUUUAAUAUUUUUAAAUAUGUCCCUCUGAUUGAUUUAUUACCGUUAAAACACUGUCUAUUUUUUAAAUAAAAUGAUCUUUUUGCAAUCACAAAUAUGUUCCUUAAAAAAUUCCUAAUUCUUAAUUAAAGAGGGAUAAAAAGGUCAAUUCACUUUAUUAACUAAUCAGGGUUAAGUAUUUAAUCUAUAGUUAACUAAAUUUUUCUAACAGAUUUUAACGGCAGAGAUAUAUUUGAAAACAUCAGGAUUUUUGGAGAGGCAACAUGUGAAAAUUGAACUUUGUAGGGAUAUAUAUUUGCAAUUCAUUAUAUUUGCAGAGACCUGCAUGCAAUUAACCCUAAUUUAUAAUUUACUUUUUUUUCUUUUUCUAAUUUCCAUUUUUUAAAUUUGUUUUUACAGUUUCGUCCCUCGAGUGCUUUUGACACGACCUACACCACCACCAACGCGGGUGGGCCCGUGUGGAAUGACAAUGAAGCCCUUACUGUGGGACCCAGAGGUGUGCUUAAUUAAAUUCCACAUUUUAUUUUAGACAAAAUGCAGAAAACUUUCGUGUAAAUACUCGUUCUUUAUUUUUUUUAUUUAUUUUUGCUAACUUUUAAAUUUUGAUAUUUUACUUUCUUAAAAUUUUAAGUCGUUGCAUAAAGCAUCAACUCCGUUACGAUUCUGUCACUAUUCAGUUCAAUUUUUAUGAUCUAUAUUAAAAAUAUUCUUAAAAAUAAUAAAAAUAUAUUAGAAAAUAAGAGUAAUUUGGUCAUUUCGUCCUUUCCAUUGACACUAUAACCUUCUGGAAAUAUUUUUGAAAUUUUAAGAGGAGAAAAUAUUAAUUUUUUAAAAGCCAAAUAGAAAAAAUAAAAAAAAUGAGUAUUUACAAGAGAAUUUUUUUGUAUUUUAGCCUGAUCUGUGCUAAUUCUUACGUUUUGAUAAUCAAAUUUCUAAAUUUUGACAUUAUUUGUUUAGCAUUCAAACGGUUUUAAAAUAAAUAAUAUCCACAGGUGUAGUUAGGAAUUGGAUUUGAUCGAAACUGCAGUCGAUUUAAGUGUAUUUGCAACUACUACAGUUGAGCCCCUUCGUACAGUUUCGACUAAAGGAGUUGAAUUCAAAUACACUGAAUCAAACGUCAUGUUUGAUUCUAUAAUAUUCAAUUAAGAUUACAAUACAGUCACAACUGCGUGCAACCAAACAACUUUUGUCUGCCGCUAAUAAGCUUAAGCAAAAAGAGAGCCAAUGAACGACGGUGUUUCUAUUUGUGUUGACGAUGGAUGAUUGGUGGGUCAGGGCCGAUCCUGUUGGAGGAUUAUCAUCUGAUCGAGAAGAUCGCACACUUCGCGCGGGAACGGAUACCGGAGAGGGUGGUGCAUGCUCGGGGGGCGAGCGCGAAGGGGUUCUUCGAGUGCACGCACGACGUCACCGGCCUCACCUGCGCCGACUUCCUCCGCGCCCCCGGUGUCCAGACUCCCGUCAUUGUCCGCUUCUCCACCGUCAUCCACGAGCGCGGCAGCCCCGAGACCAUCCGCGACCCCCGUGGUUUCGCCGUCAAGUUCUACACCCGCGAGGUAUAUAUGAUCGAUCUUUGGAGUAAUGUGGUAAUGUUAGAUGAGCUGGAGGUUCCAAUUACGGAAAAAAUUACAUAGGCGAUCCUCCCCACAGAGAGACGGUUGAUCAGACAAUCUCUUCUCCUACCAAAAUCACAGAGACACAGUUUGAUUAACCAUUCAUCACGCCCAAUGCACGAAUCUUAAAAUAAUAGUACAUGAUAGAUCAAACAAUCAUUUUUUUCGAGCGAAAAUAUACGCAGGAGACUCCUCCGCCCCUAUAGAGGGACGAUUUGAUCAACCAUCCAUCACAUCCAAUACACGGAUUUUAAAAUAAUAAUGAAUGAUUUCAUUACAUGCAAUGUACGAAUCUCAAAGCAACAAUGAAUUGUUGACCAGAUUAUCUCUCCUUUGAAUAGACAUUACAUGAAAAGAACCUCUCUAAGAAGAGAAGGUUUAAACAACCGUCAACUCUAUCGAACUUAGAAUCUUCUGCGCUGUUAAAAGAAGUUACAUCUAUUCUACCCCUCGCAGGGCAACUGGGAUUUACUGGGCAACAACUUCCCAGUAUUCUUCAUCCGCGAUGGCAUCAAAUUCCCCGACGUGAUCCACGCAUUCAAGCCAAACCCUAAAUCCCACAUCCAGGAAUACUGGCGCGUGUUCGACUUCCUCUCCCACCACCCGGAGAGCCUCCACACCUUCUGCUUCCUCUUCGACGACGUCGGCGUCCCCACCGACUACCGCCACAUGGAAGGGUUCGGCGUCAACACUUACACCUUCAUCAACCGCGCGGGGAAGGUGCGUGCAUGCACGCUGCAAAACAACCGAUUACUCUAAAAGUUUAAGCUGUUGUCAGAGGACGUACGUAUGAUGUUUUUAGUCUCUUGUAUGAAUAUAUAUAACAGGCACACUAUGUCAAGUUCCAUUGGAAGCCGACGUGCGGUGUGAAGUGCCUGAUGGAGGACGAGGCGGCGGUGGUCUGCGGGCGGAACCACAGCCAUGCGACGCAGGAUCUGUAUGACUCUAUUGCUGCAGGGAUUUACCCCGAAUGGAAGCUCUACGUUCAGGUCAGAUGAAAUUGCGAGUGUUUUUAGAUAACAUGGUAUCAGAGCUAACGUAUCUUUUCUUUUUGUUAGUACCAUAAAAUUCGUACAAUAAUGAGCGACAAGACGACCUUUCAGGGUUUGUUUUUCUAACAGAUCGAUCUUUUGGGCGGUGUAGGUCAUGGACCCGGACCACGAGGACCAGUACGACUUCGACCCGCUGGACGACACCAAGACAUGGCCCGAGGACCUGCUGCCGCUGCAGCCGGUGGGGCGGCUGGUGCUGAACCGCAACAUCGACAACUUCUUCGCCGAGAACGAGCAGCUGGCCUUCGGGCCGGGGCUCGUCGUGCCGGGCAUCUACUACUCCGACGACAAGAUGCUGCAAUGCCGGGUCUUCGCGUACGCCGACACGCAGCGGUACAGGCUGGGCCCAAACUACCUGAUGCUGCCAGUGAAUGCACCAAAGUGUGCCCUGCACAACAAUCACUAUGAUGGGCUCAUGAACUUCAUGCACAGGGAUGAAGAGGUAAAACCAUCUACUUAAAUGCCAUUAUUGUUUAUCAUUAUUAUUAAUAUAACAUGGUUUAUCCAUAAUUGUUCUUUUUUUUACUCUUUUUUUUUUAAUCUUUUGUGUUUUUUUAUAUGUAGGUGGAUUAUUUCCCUUCUAGGCAAACUCCUCUUAGACAUGCAGAGAGGUUUCCGAUCCCGACCCGGCCCGUCACCGGCCGCCGCGAGAAGGUAGUGACAUUUCUAACCUCAUAAAAUCCCACUAUCAUGUAUUCAGUAGAAGCAAAUGCAGAGUCUGCAUUACUUUGUAGCUCAUAAAAUCCCACUAACAUGCCAAAUAAUUACAAUCUUAUGAAGUUUCACUUAUAAAUUAUGAUCUUAAACAUUGAGAUCUCAUAAUCAUCUAUCUUUUUCUAUGUUACAGAUUACAAUUCACAAUUUCUAUGUUACAGAUUACAAUUCACAAGCAAAAUGACUUCAAGCAGCCGGGAGAGCGAUAUCGGUCGUGGACGCCCGACAGGUAAGCCACUUGCAAAAGAUUAAACUUUACUUGAGAAAAAGAGCACAAAAGAUUAAACUGAAUCAUUGAUUUGUCGAUCUUAACUUGUAUUCGCAGGCAAGAUCGCUUCGUCCGUCGAUGGGCAGAGGCUUUGGGCCAUCCCAAGGUCAGCCACGAGCUCCGCAGCAUCUGGAUCUCUUACCUCUCUCAGGUCAGUCCCUGUAAUUCAUGCCAUUGAUCACAAAAGCACCGAAAAAGCAAAGAGAAAAAACUUACUGAACAACAAUAGGUCGAGAAAACCACAAAAUUCAAGAACUUACACAUCAACUUGAUUCUUCCGAUGAAUCUUCGGUUUGUCAAUAAUUGUUGCAUUUGUCUGUGCAGUGCGAUACGUCGUUGGGCAUGAAGGUGGCGAAUCGCCUCAAUGUGAAACCAAGCAUGUGAUGAGAGAUGCAGCAGCUAUCAUGUAUUCAGUAGUUUUUAAGUUUCCUGCAAUGAAGAGUCUCUCCUCCUGUUGUAUUUCCAUAAUAAGACUACUUCAAUGUAGCCUCUGCUCCCUCCACUGUAUUCCUCAUCUCAUGGAAAUGGAUGUUCUCAAGUACAUAUUCUUGUGAUGAGAUAUCAAUGGAAUCUAUGGUCGUAUUCCGUCUGAUAUAUCAUCUGUUUAGUUGCAUAAAGUUUUCGGCAACAACAUAUAACCUCAAUUGAAGAGCACAAUGAGAAUGAGACAAUGUGAUUCAGUGUUGGAUUGGAAGUUCAAUUUGCAGAGUUAAAAUCAGAAAUAGAUUCAAAUAAUUCAGAUGCUAAAAAUGAGAUUAAUGCAAUUGGGAUCCUUGACAUAAAGGAAACUGAGACCAGAUCACCUUCUCACAAUGGAACUGCAAUAAUCUGCCAGAUGAGAAAGGACCAUUUGAGCUCACCUGAGAACACACAAAUGCAUCAAUCCAUUAAAAACAGCAAGAAUUCACUAAAGACUUCGGCGGAGAUUUCUAACUACAUAUGUAUAUAUACAUACAUUUACAUACGUAAAAGAGCAGUGCAGUUCACACAAACAACUUACCCCCAAUUUUUCGACUACUAAUCAAGAGAACAGACUAAAAGAGACGAAAGAAUAAAUCUCUCCCACAACAAGCGGGCGAUUAAAAUCUAUAAGCCACGAGCAUUCCCUGAGAGUCAUCAACAUAAAUUUAAUGUGCCUAAAAAUUAUUAGUUUAAUGCCCACAAUGUUUUAUUACUGAGACAAUGCCUUGGAUUAAUUUAAUCGAAUUGUGAAAUUUGGCCUUAUUAUGCCAAUUCCCUGAAGAUCAUGUUAUUCUUCCUUGGAGAAUAAGUUGCUCUCCGGUUAUUCUCGGCUUGGAGAAGCAGAAGCUGUAGCAGAAGCUGUUUUCGCAUUUUCUGCUUCAUCGCCUGCUGCUCCUGCCCCAGCCUGCUUAUCCGGAACAGCUAGUUGCAGAAUCCCAUUCUUCUCAGCCAACUGUGAAAGCCCUUUUAUUCGUUUGAAUCUUUUCUUCGAUAUUACCGCCCCACGGUGAAAAAAGUAACCAAGCAAAGAGUCAUCUCCGGGGAGCGCUUCGACCCCAGCAAGCCGUUUUGAUGCUCGGCGAGUCAUGGAAUCAGAACUUUCAGAUUUAACCCCAUCACUUGAGCCCGAUUGGUCCUCUCCUGAAAAAAGCGGCUUCUUAUCUUCUGACACAGCUGGUUUCUCUUCAGCCGGUGAGAGCACCACAUUCUCUUUCUCCUCAAAAUCAGCAUCUAGAAUUGAUGAAUUCCCCUCUUCUCCUUCAUCAUUUAUUUUUGGCUUUUCUUCAAGCUCAAGCUGCUUUUGCUUUACUGGGUCAAAUGGUAUUAUAGCUGAUUCUUCAAUUAACUUUUGACUUUCCUCAUCUUGCUUUGAUCCAUAUUCGCCGAGCUCUUUUGGUUUGUUUUGUGAGGAUUCGUUCAUUUUUGCCCUUUUCUUCUUCUUCUUCACCUUCUUCGUUAUCUUUAAGGGAUCAUCCUUCGCGCGGUCCAACAACUUCAUUUUCUUCUUUAUUUUCUUCUUUAUCUUCUCUACAAGGCUGGCAUCCAAUUGCAACCGGAGAGGAGUACUUUCUUCACCUGAAAUUCAAAUAGCUCAAAUUAGCUGAUGAUUGCACAUUAAGAUGAAAUUCACAUUUACAAAAGCAUAGAAGUCACUUUGGGUUUGGAUGCAAUCAAAAUGUGCUUAACAUGGAUCCAAAUAUUUCUUGCAUACCCUGUAAAAUAUCAUGGUGAGCCGAAAAUAAAAUCAAAAUUUGGAAAUAAAGGAGAUCGUUGGUCGACAAGUCACUUCCAGGAAAAUUUUGUAAUGAUAAGCAGAUAAGCUAUUGGAUGUCAUGCAGUAAUACUAAGACCUGAAUUUAUUAUCAAUAUACUACAAUAAUGAGCAAUGCUAUCUGAACAGCCGCUAUAUAGUUUAUUAUAUAUACGUGUCAAACAAGGGACCAAUCCAAUUCACAGGCGGAGGAAAUUUAGAAGUAGCAGCAUGGUUGACUCCAUUUCAACCAAGGACAACACCAGAAGGUUUGAUAUGCAUCUCAAAGGUCGUGGUUUUAUCGUAUCUGGUAUGAUAAAGCACCUAGUCAAGGAGCACCUGACUCCCAAGCCUGACAGACAGUUAGUCAGAUGCCUAUAUGCAACAAUAGUUUUUCCUUCUCCUGGAUUUCUUCUAGCUAAAUUAAACAUCAAUAUACGGGUCGGGCCAACUCUCUACAGCCGAAAGGGAAAUUUCGACCAGCUCGAGAUACAGGCGACUUAGAGCCCGCAUUUGGCAAUGUGGUUUAACAAUUUGCAAUAGGUGGCUUGAUAUAUCGGGGCUUUUACAUAUACAUCCCUGCAAAAUCAUCUAGUUGCACAUAUAUUCUUCUAAUCUAAAGUCUGAUAUAAACCCCUAGCACGUGUAGUUUCUUCCAAGUCAUCCAAUUCAUGGGGUGAAGUUGACUUUGCAUUAGAAGUUUUUUUUUUUUCUUAGGUGCAUUUUAGGAAGUACGAGGGUAUAUUUGUAAGAAAGUAAGUUUUUGGCGGAUAAAUAUGAAAGUUCAAAAUUCACAGUUGUCGGGGAUAUAUGUUAGUAUAAAAUCUUGAAGGGGUAUACCUCAAAUUUUCUGUAACAUAAUUGACAUAAGUGGUGCAUUUAGUUCUAAAGAAACCUGUUCAAAGGAAUAACUUCCUCAGGAGCAACAGAAGUUCUAUAGUGGAAAACAACUUUUUCAAUUUCAUUGGUAAAAAAAGUGUAAGAACUUACAAUCAUCAGGGGGUUCCUCCUUUAUCACCACUUGUCUGUUGAAGGUCGGUGCCUGUCCCGUAAAAAGGCAUUGCCUCACAUCAAUGGCUGGUGACUUCGGCUUCUCGGCUGAAGUACGACGGCACUGAUGGAAAAAACAUCAAUCAGAAACAAGACCAGGAGAUGACCAAGAUUUUCCAAGAACCAAAACUUAUGUCAUAACGAAAAUAUUUCCUGAUAGGUAUGUUUACACAUAUACCACUGGAGGGGUGGAAUAUUGCCCAUUAAAAUAUAAAUUUUCGUAUAUGCCCUUCAAAAACUUAAUUUCUUACAAAUUUACCCAUGCACCUAUAAAGAUGCUCGUCUUUGAAAGCCUUUCCUAAAGAAAAACAAUUUCCCCUAUAAACUGGACAAGUUCCCAAUUUAAGAUCAAGAUAUUUUGCAUGAAAAUCCACUUUUGGGUUUGUAUGUCUAAAAAAAAAGAUUUUAAAGAGGCUACAUGUGUAAAUUCUAAAUAGAUAAUUUUAAAGGGAUGUAAUAACUAGAAGUGGCAGAAGGUGGAAAAACCAAAAUCAUUUAGAUGCUUCAUGUUAUAGAAAAAACAAAGCAACAGUUGCAACAAGAAGUUAGGGUAAGAAAAUGAGCAUGGCAUAGAAAAAUUGUGCGAAUAAGUAUACUAGCUCAGCAAGAAAAGAAAAGGAAAACAGCUUCAACUAGCUCCAAAUAAAAGCAGUAGUUUUGAGCACCUCGUUACAAUGUACUUAAAAUUACUGGUUUAUGCAAAUGUAUUAGCUAUAUCAAAAUGAGCCGCAUAUUUAUAGGUCUGAUAAAAUUGUCUUAAUAUAGUUAACAGAAUUUAUAUUAGAGAAAUCUCAUCUAAUACAAAUAGUAGAACACAUAUGGAUGAGCACACAGGCACAUGUUGACCUAUGAGAUAACCAAAGGGGCAUUCUUUCAACAAGUAAAAUUCAAAAAAGAGAAAAGGAGAGAUUAAAUCAUACUACUUGGAAAAGACGACAAACAAAAGCAAAUCAGAUAUCGAGGAAGCAGUCUUCUUUGCACGCUAACUGACACAUGAGUUUUGGAAUUCUAGGAAAACUGUGAAGGGCAACAAAAUAAGUAUGAAUAGGUCAUAGUCUUGCAUAUAUCUCUCGAUGCUGCAUACAAUGAAGUAUGUUGAUAUGUUAAUCCCUCCAAUGUUGAAAAUUUUCUCAUACAUGAAGUUUUAGGCCAUCUUAAAGGUCGAUGUGAUUAAAUUGAAAGAUAACAAAAAUAAAUCUAAUCUCAAAACUUUCCUCUUAAUGAAAGAAAUGUCAAGUGUUAUAUCUAUACUCUAAAAUCAACCUAAAACAACUCAAAUAGGCAAACAAAGAACCAGCCUAAAGUACUAAGAGAUUCAUAUAUACAACAAACAAUCAACAGUUGCGGAAUUCUAUUUCACAGUUUCAAAAGGUUUUUCGUAGCUUCACCCAGACAAAUUUUAUCUAAGAAGCUGAUCUGGUAGCUUAUCUUUAAAUAAAAUCCACGGAAAUCUUCUAGAUAAACACAAAAGAAUACCACCAUCUAUUACAUUAACUAGUCAAGUUUCAAAUUUUUUCACAACCAGCAACUCAGGCGUCGAGUUGCAAUAUUCAAUGAAAAUAUUCUUAGAAAAAGUCAAAUGACAUAUAAAAGUAGCAAAUGGGAAACAACCCAAUUCCAGGAUUUAUGGAUUCAAAUAUUAUAUGCUUACAUGAACAAAUGAUCUACAAUAUAAAACCUUUGAUUUCUGGACACGUCACUUUAGGUAAGUACUUACAAUCCACAACAAGAUAAGAUUAAAAAAUUACUUCAGUCACGUCCACAACAAGGAAGCAAAAGAGAGAAGCAUGUGAUAGCAAAAUUUGUAUAUCCAGGAGAUUUAAUUUCAGAAUACAGAAGGCGAACAAAGCAUAUAGACACAAUUAUAUAUGGUAAUCAAAUUAGGGAAAUAUUAGAUUAGGUGAGGAAAACAAUAUAGUGCGCUAAACUUAAAAAAUCACGUCUAAGUUGUGCAUGCUGAAGAAGACAAAAAUACAAAAAACAUGCCCGGUUAAAGGCUUCUUUCUAUCUGUCCACAGCCUUGACAUGUUAAUUGUUGCAAGUUAGGUUGUACCAUUAAGGAAGAACAGUAUUCUAUUAAUUUAGAUGCAAGGUUUGCUUAUUUUAAACAACAGUAACCGUGAUCGAACUAUGUAACUAUGUUAUCGUUCUUCACCACCGAAGAGUUCUAUUUAUGUGCAAGCAUAAAAUGUCUCUCCCUUUAUUAUGCACAGCUUUCAACAGAUGAGAUAAAUUAACAGCUAGAAAGCCACAUCCUUUAAAAAUAGCAAGAAUCCUCGAAAGGAGGAUCAAAGAAAAAGAUAGACCCAGUGAUGAGAGACAAAAGAAGGAAAAGCAACCAGAUUGGUACCCGUCUAGAAGAUCCCAUGCCGACAACAUAAGUCUCAAUGAUACUUUGUCUUGGUCUAAAUGCAUGUUUGCUUAUUUCUCCAGUUUCAACAUAGCGACUAACAUCCUUUAAGGUUCGAAACACAAGUCCACUUGCUGGUUCAGUAUAAUACUGCAGAAUAAUAUUGACUAUAGUCAAUAGACAGAAAAUAAAGAUGAAACAACUAAAGAAAGGGGAUGUGCCGAAACAGGUCGCUACUAGUAUAUAUAGAAUAUCGCAAAGGAAAUGUUAAUUCAACAAAUAUGUGGAAGAAGGGGCAGAACACAGGAUAUCCUAACAUUAGCAAUAGACUAUAAUCAACUGGGAAGCAUAUGCCCAGUUGAAAGAAUAUAGAAGGGCUUCUACGAAGCAGGCAAGUGUUAGAGAUAAAGAACUAUCGGCUGGAGAAAGCUUUAUUUCCAUAAUCCCUUGGCAGCUAACUCUUUAUAAACUAUGAAAUGGCAGUGCCUAACACCAAUACAGAAAACUACUUGAUAAAACUGUAAUAGAUCCAAAGACAAAAACUGUAAAUGUAAUAUGAGACCAAAAUUACCAAAACUAUGGCAGCUGACAAGCCGCAUUACAUUUCCAAAACAGGAAAAUAUAUGUUAAUAUUUAGGGUUUAAUCUUAGAUGCCAUUAACAAGCAUUGCACAACCUUAAAACAAUAAUAGCAAAAUCAGAAGUUCGUAAUUGAAUUAAGCCAGUAUAAUUCAACUAAGAUAUUCUCUGCAUGUAGCAACAACAGCUGGGAUUCUGUAACAGAAAAGAAAUCCAAUUUGUAUGCUACCGGAUCUUUUCUGGUUCCAUGUUCGCAAGGGAAUUUUCUGAAUUUUGUUAGCUUAACCCAUCCGUUGGGCAAUCCUUCUGGGGAAUACUCAAUUUGAGCAAAGAUCUGGCAAACAAAAUCAUAAACCAAAAGUUCAUAUUCAUGCAGAAAGUAGAAGUGAAUAAUAAAUAAUAAGCAAAUGUAUCUUGAAACAGAAGAAAAAAAAAAAAAGGCUCUGAAAAGCUGCGGACAUUGUCAAUAGCAUCGGCAUUGCAAUUUCUUUCUAGAUCAGAAAUGGAAUUUGGAAGCGUCCCCUCCUCCAAGUAGCAAAGUACAUCUUCCUUGGAAAAGAAUCUGUACUCGGUCACCGGAUCGAUGUAACACUACAAAAAUAAAUUCAAGCAUCCAUUAGUUUGUAAAUACUUUGUUCCAUGCAGAACAGACUAUCCUUUCAUUCUAAUGAAGCAUAUAUUGAUUCAAGAAAACUCAUUCCAGUUUACUUUACGGACGCUAGUCAUGGAAACCCUUUAACUGUCAAAAUUGGUUAUAUAGAGAAUAUAUCAAAGGAGGGAGAAAUUGUUGGAGUUACAAUUAUGGAAGUUUAUCUCCAUCUAGUACCCAUGAAAAUUAGCAUUCACGUAGUUGAUUGUAAAAAAUAAGACAGCUGUUGUCAAAAGAGCCAUCUUUCAUACUGCUAAAGAUAGUAUCACUUGAAAAAAACAAAGAGAGAUUUUUCCUUUUUUCUUUUUAUUACUAAUUCUAGUGUUGGAGCAAAAGGAAUGAAAAGCAAAACAGGAAAAGAAAAUAACUCGUGAUUGAGCUGAGAUGGAUUUAUGAAUUUCUAGCUGUUCUAAUUUUAUUCUUCCACUACACUUAUAUGCCACUGAAGUCCAUCCUGGUUUCACUACAACAUUGAUCUAAAAUAUAUAUAUAUGAUUAUUAACUAUCAGAAGUUCCCGCAAAUAAAUUAAUGUUACUUUCCUUAUUUAUCAGUUGAACAACAGUCAACUAAGUCUUACUUCUCGCAAAUAUUUCACUCAUAACAAAAGUCAAAUUUGCUGCAUUUUUAGGACAGAAGGAUGAUCAUAUAGUCCCUACAAAGCAACAUUAUUAAUUGUCAAGCCCUAGAUUCCACUUCUUAUGUUUAUUUCCAUCCUGUCUAUUAGCUCUGUAUUUAAUUUGAUUAAUCCUCUUUCUCUUUCACCGCAGUUAGAAGAGGUAACAGCCAUAAGUGGUGAUAAUGGCAUAAGAAAAUAGGAAGAGAUUCCAAACCUCAAUCAAGUGCAAAAUGCAACAAAGUUUAUGUAAGAAUUAUGUGCUAUAAGUGUCCAAUCAUACGAAGUUUAUAAUGUAAUACUAAGUGGUGCGGCAGCUAAGCCUUCAUCCAAAAAACUGUGCUACCAAUUUCAGGAAAAGAGAAAACAUGUGCAAAUAGAAUUAUAUGUGAAAUGCCUGCACAAAGAAAUGUUAGAAUAGGGACUAUAUUAACUGCAAAAUAGGUUUAGUUUACAAAAAAGAAAUGAGCUUACAUUAGAAAGUAUCUAUUUACCUUGUAUCUUUCCUCUGCUUCUGUACCACUUCCUCUACUUCUAAUUUCCAAGAUCCAUCCAGAAGGCAGCCAUCCAAGUGAAUUGUCAGCUGACACAACAAGCUAAAUGCACAGACUAUAAGAAUUGUUUCACAAAAAAAAUAGAGAGAGAUUUUACUUGAAUUAAUAACGUACUUGCAUUUUCUCAUCUUCAGGACAUGCUCUCGUCUCCAAAGCAGCAUGAUCAACCUCCAUAAAAUUAAGGUGGUGCAGAACUUCAUUUCUUGAACAAAAUGUAGAUCCAGAGAUUGGAGAAGUAUAAUACUACAUAAUUUAAAGAGGAAAACAACCUUAGUACUGUUAUUGAGUAAUUUGCAUCACUGUAGCCAGUACUAUCUUCUUGCUCCAAGCAUAACCAGGAUUUUUUUGAAUGGUCCAGCAGAAUAAAUUUAGAAUAAAGAGUUAGCGACCGCAAGAUCAAUCUUCUACAAUUAAGAAACAAACAAGUACAGGAAGAAUCAAGUGUAGGAAAAAAAAUCAUCUAGAAGUAAAGCUAAUCUCAAGCACAAUCAUUGGAGUAUGAGUCACUAGUUAGUUCACAAUCUAUUAAUGUGUAAUAGGAAAAGCCAUGCUAGAUAUGAAACGAUGCAAAUUAAAGGCAAGAAUCUUAUCAACUUGUUUAGGUAACCAUCUUUUUUUUCUUUGUAAGAAUUUCUUAUGACUUGCAUGUUGCACACAGGCAUUUUGCACCUACAAAAGUUUAUGUUGCUAAAUUUAACUUUCCUAGUCUCCAAUAUUUCAGGUUAUGUUCGUUGAAAAUGAGUUGUAAUUUUUAUUUGUUGUACUCGUAUUUUUUUCCUUGAAUAUAUGAUUCUGCAGUUGCACUUUCAUGCCCUUAUUCGGUUGAAAAGAAAACAAGGAAACUUUGUUACUAACACACGCAUCUUCUCUUUUAGAAGUAUAUGUAAGCCAAAACACUGGCUUAAAAGCAAUUUCUGCAAGAAAUGUACUCGAUCCGUUUCUUUUAUUCGAGAGGUACCAUUUUAAUGUUUGCUCAAGUUCUUCUCAAGAAAGGAGUGACUGUAAAUCCAUGUGUUUGACACUAUCCGUAGUGCGACCAGUAGUCUUCAGAAAUAGAUAAAAAUGUAUAGAACUUACCUCAACUAUCACCCAUUUUGGUCUGUCUACCUAAUCAUUAAAAGUUUUGAUUUUACUAUCUAACCUUUUAAUUUAUUUGAUUUGAGCCAAUUAAUAACUCUUAAACUUCAAAAUUUGAAUGCGCCGUCUAUCUAUAUGUGUUUAAUUAAUAAAUUUUAUGCAAUUUAUGUAGCUAUAAAUUCAUUAAAGUAAGUAGUUAGCUUAAAUUUUGUAUUGGAAGAACCAUUAAAUGGCUUAAAUCCAAUGGAUUGAAAGGUUGGGUACUAAUAUCAAAAUUUUGAAAGGCUGGGUAGUCGAAUCACAUGGUCUAAAGUUCACAUAAGUUCUAUACAUUUUUACCUCAGAAGUAAAGUCUUGACUCUACCUUUAGGUUUACUUUGUAGAUGAAUAUAGAGAUGUGGAUGCAUUUAAAAUGUGCAUAAAUAAUGAACAAAUCCCAUUAGCUCAUAAGAUUUGUUUAAAAAAAAAAAAAAAAAACUCCAUAUGAUGAUUGUGAUAGUUGCAUGACACACAUGCCUGGAUACUAUAAGUAGCUUAAAGAAAUCAAUAUAAAACUAUCUAUUUAUCGCCAAAAUUAGCAACUUUGCUCAAGGAACCCAUACAUGGCUUGUCAAAAGUGAACAUAUAGCCCUACAAACUCGAUCACUUGAUACCAAACAAGCGAUUGCCCGAACAUUCUAAACUCAUAAAUAUUAGGCGAGAGUGAGUUGCCAAAAUGAGCUUUUCUGAUCCAAGAGAAGCUCCAACUUGAAGCUUCUUCUUCUAGAUUCUGCAAGAAGCCAUUGGGCACUUCAAUUAAAAAUAGUUGUUACUUGUUACUCUACUCAAACAACAUUUGCGCAUAAACUAUACCCGCGCCAAAUAAGCCCACAUAAUUAGAGAGUCAUUUGUUAUACAGGAAGAGCAAUAUUCUCCUCAUGAAAAUUCAUAUAUUUCCUUCUCAGACACUUGAUCCAUUAGUACUAGUAUCAUUACAACCUAAAGUAGUGAUCUUGCAAAAUAAUAAUAAUAAUAAUAAUAAUAAUAAUAAUAAUAGCAACACUAAAUUUAGAAAAAAAAAAAGGAGCUAUCCCUACUUCUCCACUGUUUCAUUAAGCACUUCGGAGCUUAAACCCUAAUCAACAUGCCUAUUUCUCUCCCACUUUUCCUAAUUAGGAAACCGAGAGGCCGCAAAACCUACUGAUCCACCCAGAAACCACCCAAAUUCGACACAUAUGUGGCGAAAAAUGAGAGCACGAGAUCAAAAACUCCACAACUUUGCAAACGAAAAUCGAUCGAUCGCACCAAAAAUCAGGGUUUUGCAGUCGGAGCCAUACAUGAUACAGGGACCCGCUCUUCCUCCCCCUCCUGACCUCCAUGAUCCACCCAUCGGGGAGCCACUCGGGGGGCUCGUAGGACAUCACCGGGGGAGGGCAAUGGGCGGCCGUCGUCGUCGUCAUCGGCGGCUAGGGUUAGGGUUCCGGCGGCGCCGCCCCUGGCGGCGGCGGAGGCGAGCUCGGACGUGGCAGAGGGAGCAGAGAAAAGAGUGCGGAGUUGUGGAGUGUUCGAAUAUGGAAAGGUUUUAAGAUUCGCUUUUUCACAGUGGAAAAAGGGGGAGAUUUUUCGCAGAUUGCUCCUCGUACUAUUGAAAAAUUCGUUCUUAGUGACCUUAAAAUGUUCAAAAAUAAAAAUUGUAAAAAUGUAUUAAAACACCUCGACUAUAUGAUAUUCUGCAAUUGGCCCACAAUAUUUUUUUAUUGACACCUCCUUCAUUUCCGUUUUUUUUAAUUUAUAUUUGUAUGUAGAUACCCAUAACAAAAUACGGUACUAAAAAGUAAACUUCCACGUGCACACAAAUAAAUAUAAACUUUUGCAAGAUUAUUUGUGCAAUUUCACAAUCUCCAAAGCCAAAGCAAAAAAUUUAUUUACCGUUUUACCAUUUCCAAAGCUCCACGUCAGCAUGCAGAGGGUUCUCUUGGCCAAAAUUUGCUAUUUUUGCCUCCAAAAGAUUAAAACUAACAAUUACACCCUCGGCUUCAUUUCGAAAUUAAUCCUGCCUAGUGUUUGAUGCUCUCCUUAAAUUCCACCUUGAAGUAGGGGUGUAAACGAGCCGAACACUAGCAAGCUGGGGUCGGCUCGGUUCGGCUCAUUUAUUAAACGAGCCGAAUACGAGCUGACUCGUUAAAGUAUCGAGCCGAAAAAUUCAGCUCGUAGCUGAACACAAUCUGGCCCACGAGCUGACCAACAAACAAUAAAUUAAAAAGAAUUAGAUUAAAUAUAUAUAAAAAGUAAAUUUAUAAAAUCUUAUUCAUUAGACUUUGAUCUAAUAGUUAAAACUUUACAUAUAAAUAGGUCUUUUUAUAAUUAAGCUCGCAUUUAUAUUUUUAUUUUACUAAAAUUUAAACAAUAAAAAUAUAUAUUAUAUAUAAUUAUUUAUUUAUAUAUAAAAAUAUAAAUUAUAUAAAAUUAUAUAAAUAUAUAAUAUAUGUAUUCGAGCUGUUAUCGAGCCGAACACAGCGAGCUGACCUCAGCUCGUGUUCGGCUCGUUUAUUAAAAUAGCUAAAAAAUUCAGCUCGUGUUCGGCUCGUUUACUAAACGAGCGAGCCGAUCUCGAGCUCAUUUCGAGCCGAACACACUGGCUCUGAACAGGGAACUGGAUUGCCACCCCUACCUUGAAGUGACUGAUGUAAUAUAUUCCUAGUUUUUUUUUUUUUUUUUUUGAUCUUUCCAUUAUUAGAUACUAAAGUGACUACAAAUUUAUACACAUAUAAUCAUCACACACAAUUACAAUAUAAAAGGGACCGAUUAAACCCCCUAGGGUUGGUAAUCCUGCAGGCUGUUCGUGAGUCAGUGUUCGCAAGUCAGUGGGCUUGAAAUAAUUCGAAUAUAUAUAUAAUAUAUUUUUUGUACUUUCGAAAGUACGAAGACGUCUGUAUUUACAAAUUAUUUUUAAUGAUAAAAUAUUCGAUUUAAUGAUCAGCUUUAUUAAGUAUAAUCUACGCUAUUACAAUUUUUUAGAAACUAAUUUUAUAAUUUUUUAAUAUUGUUUACCAAGUGAUCAAUGAGUCUCAAAAGUAAUUACCUUAAUGGCCGAUAAGACAUGUUUCUAAGUUCCACGAUAUAGAACAAUCCAAGUUAAGGUGAAAUAUUAUAAAAAAUUCUACUUAUCAUCUAGAGCAAGAUCAAUACUUCCGAUUUAAAAUUUAAGUCAUUUAUCACUAUUUUUUAUAAAAUUUUUAUUUUCAGCCGCUUAUUUUUAUACUGCUUUUCCUCUAGGCAAACAAAAUUAAAAAAUUAUAAAAUUUGAUUCUUAAAUAGUUUCAACACUGUAAACCAUGUUUAACAGAACUGAUCGCCAAAUCAGAUAUUUUAUCAUCGAAAAUAACUUACAAACACGAAAGCCUUCGUACUUUUGAAACCAUAGUAGCCAAGCGCUCUCUCUCUCUCUAUAUAUAGAGCAACAGAGAAAGAGAAUCGAGCUAGAAUACAAUUAAGUAGCAAACGGAUUCUGUUGCUACCAAUUCGUUUUCGAUGACACAGCUUCUGCAUCGACGAUAGGUACUAUUAAACAUGAUCUAUACCACUAAAAAUAUCUAAAAAUCAAAUUUUAUAUUUUUUCGAUAUUAUUCUCUUGUGCAUCAAGUAGACGCAAAAAUGAACCGCUAUAAAUAAUAUCCUUCAAAAAAUAAUGAUAGAAUUCUUACAAUCAAGAUCAAGAGUAUAGAUCAUAUUUUAAACAGGUUAAAAAAAUUUUCUAACUAAAAUUCAGUUGAUUUGGAUUUCUUUACGCCAUUAAACAAACAAAUGUCUCAUACCGACCAUCAAUAUUAUAAAUUUUGCAAUAUUUUAAUCACUAAAUCAAUUAUAUCAAAAAGACAUGAAAUUUACUGUCUAGAUACUUCAAGUAGUCUAGAUCAUGUUCAGCGAUACCGAUCAUCGAUUUGGAAGCUUCAACAUCAAAAAUAAAUUGGUAGCAACGUAGGACUACCCCCCAACUUUUGACUCGCGUUGAGUCCCUCGCCCUUUCCUGAACCCAGCUUGCUGGGCUCAGAAAGAGAUGGUCGGCAGAUCUGCCCCAUUUGCUACUAAUAGUAUUCAUACAUUUUCCGUUGGGGAUUUCUUGGAAUAAAUCCCCACAUCUUCCUUCUUAUGCGAAAUUUCCAAUCAAUCAGAAUUGAGGUUAAAAACCAUAGAAAGAGAUCUACAAUAUCUUGGAUGAUAAAAAAAAAUACUAUCACUAUCAGAUUAGCUGAUAUAUAUAAUGUUUGCUCAGAAUCAUAUCAGAUUAGAGAACAAGAGCUCUAAAGUAAGAAGAUCCUGACAAAAUUUCCAGCAGAUAUCAAGUAUCAACACAACACCAGUAAUUCUGCCACAAGAGUGAACUUGCAGACACAGAACAAAUUUAUAAAAAGGAAAAACCAAACCAGUUUCAUGAGCUAACAGAGAAGUUGUAAACGAAAAACCAACGAAUGAAAUAUGUUUAUCCAUUCAAAGAUACUAGUCCAUUCGACAAGCUCAAUAAGAGCCUCAAAAUCCAUAAUCCCCUGUCCUUUUCAUCAGAAAUAGCUAAAUCUUGCAUUACGUCGAAGUUUUGGUAGCAGAAAUCAGCAUAUGCUUCACUAUAAUGCAAGGAACGUGUAAACCGUUAAAAUUUUAAAAGCAACGAAUUUUCCCUUGACCUGUAAGAAGAGUCAUAAAUAUUCUAUAAAGGAACACUGUUAGAGGUGGCAAAAUGAUGAAAUUUUGUAGAAAUUUCAUGGGAGGCAAAGUGAAAAUCGUCACACUUCUAGUGGGGGUUCCUGCAAUCUUAGCCAAAUCAUCACAGAGGUUACGGAAUUUCAGAAGUUGGAAUCAGUUAACAUACUGAUAUCCUCAACAAAAGGAGAUACUACAUACACAUUGCUGGGCAUACCCGCAAUGUACUCUAUUCAGCACAUAUGAUAUUGUGAGAAAUGAACAAUAAACGGGCAUUACUUAAUGCCUUACGAAUGAGAUCUGGAUUAAUACCUCUCUAUCAACUGUGGGAUGGAUUUCUCCUCGGGAAGCCGCUAGAAUGCAAGUAUCAGAGGUUACAGAAGCACUCUUUGGAUCAGUCACAUUUUAAGUCGGUUCUCGACAAGCUUACUUAACUCAAAUUUCUUUACAGACCAAGCAUCUUCAGAAACUUCAGCUUCUUCGACAUCCUAAUUGGCACAACUUUCUUUCCCUAGUCUUUGGGAUCAGAUUCUCAAGUUCUUCCACAAUUCUCAACAUAAAAGGAUCGAGGGGGAGGUGUUAGAUUGAAUUAGUUUUGGUUCCAGCCAGAAGAUUGAGCUGAAUGGAACUGCCAAGAAGCAUCAGAAGAUGACGAGUAAUGAACAUGGGCAGGAGAAUCAAAGCUUUUCAAAUAGCCAGGAAAUUGCUCGAGUUCAUUUUGCGAUGAGAUUAAACCAGGAACGAAUGUUGGCGAGACCAGAAUUUGUCUUGGGGAACUAAAAGAUACGAGAGAAUCUGUGAAAGGGGUAAAGGGUUGUGGUAACAUAGAUCCUGGAGGACCGGGCCAGUCUAGUGAAGCGGGCUUUCCCUGAGAAACAGCUUCGGGGACAGGAAAACCUGGUCUCCCCGGACCCAAAUGGCUUUUGGGAGUAGAGAGAGGAAUAGUCUUAGCGAAGGAACUAAAGAACAUGGUUCCCGGAGGGCCAGGCCAAUCUACUAAACUGGGCCUUCCCUGAACAACAGCUUCUGCGACAGGCAAAGCAGGUCCUCCUAAUUCCAAAUGGCCUUUGACAGUAGUAGGGGGGAGGUGCGCUAUCCUAACAGCAAGCACCUUUCCUUCGAUCCUGUAGCCAUUCAUUCGCGCCACAGCCUUAGCAGCACAAAUAGGAUCAGCAUACUUAACAAACCCAAAUCCUCUGCUUAAACCAGUGGUUUUAUCCGUAAUCACUCUUGCAUCGGAGAUGCCACCGAACGGUAGAAAAAGUUCGAUUAGUUUAUCGGUGUUCAUGGAGUGUGGAAGGUAGCCCACGAACAAUUUGGCCUCAUCAAUUUCUUUAACAGGCAUGCGAUUGUAAUUUCCAGGUGAAGCACGCGUUCCUUUUUCCGGGCCAUCAAUCACAGGCAAAGUAGAAUUAGAGUGCGGCGAACGAUUAAAGGGGGGAAAGGAUGCAUCCCCAUUUGGAUAUCUAAUUCCAAAUCCUGGGCCAGAUGCGAUCAAUGGACAACUCACAGUAAAAUGACUCGGAUCACCACAAACAUUGCAUGAUUCACGGGACAUCUCAUUCUCAAGUUCAUAUGGAUUUUUCCCUGAAUCUCCAAGGAAGUUGAUUUGAUCAGUGCUUGUUUCAGUUCCCGAGGUGGACGCAGUCAAAGGGCAAUUGGCAGUCAAAUGACUUGAAUCACCACAAACAUCGCACAAUUCACUGAACACCUUAUCGACCUUGUGAGAUUUUUUCUUUUUCUGUGUUCCAUUCCAUUCAGCGAGUUCCCUGAGUUGGGCGGACUUAAUUUUCAGCGUUUCUUCUCUCACAGGAACCAGUAGCCUUUCGACCAUCUUAACCGCAGCAUCAAGAGACUGCUGAUUAUUGGCGUCUAUUUGCACAUAGACUUCAUCAUCCUCCCAUGGUGCGCUGCUUCCCUUCUUUGAGUCUCUUCUUCUCAUAUUAUAACCUUUACCACGGAUUAUAAUUUUGGCUCCUGUCUGUCUCUCCAUUCUCUGUAUUGUUCGACCUCCUGGACCAACUAUAAGGCCAAUAAAGUUGAAUCCUGGGUAUUUCUUAUGCGGUAUGUACAGCUUCUUGCAUAGCUUUUGAGGUUCGUAAUAGGAAAGAUGCUUGAAACUAGGGUUUUUCUUAAUCAACUCGCAAAUUAUACUUUGUCUUUGUGCUUCAAGUUUGAUGCGAAGCCUAACCUCCCUUGUGUUUUCCCUAAUACCCAAACAAUUGUAAAUAGGUGGUGGGGAUUGAGAUCUUUGAUUUUCCGGUCGGUCAUCAACCAGCUCUCGCUCUUUUAGCUUCUGAUUUAUCCUGAGAAGCUCCGAACUCAAUUUUUGGAAUUCUGGGUCUCGAAGAUUCUCAAGAACUGUAUCAUCUGCAAAAUCGGGUAACUUUAAGGGGCCCAAAGCCUUCAAUUUGGCAUCAUUGGUGGCCCAUCUCGUCUUUUUCCUCUUUUUGGCAAAUUUAGUUGUUUCUUCGUCAAAUCCUUCCUUUACAUCCCAUCCACGUCGCUUUCUCUUACCAGAGCUCCCUGUGUUCUCCUCUUUUCUUGAAUCCUCGUCCCGCUUCAUUCGCUUUUCUGAAGAUGUUUCUAGUUUAUCAGUCGACCUUCUCUUUUUCCCCGAGCUUGAAUUAGCACCUUCCAACGGCAAAUUGUCAUCAUGAUGCUUAGUCCCUUCUUCACCAGGUUCCUCCUCAAUUUCCUCAUCUGCAUCUUUCUCAUUUGACUCCUCUUCAUAAUCAGCAUAUUCCUCAUGAGGUUCGUCAUCUUCAUUAGACUCUUCUUUCCAAUCAUCUUCUUCCGAUGCGUCUCCAUCCUCACUAGCUUCCUCAUUACAAACAAUUUCAUCAUUAUUUUCCUCGAUCAGUUCUUCCUCAGAUGGAUCUUCUUCCUCCUCACUCAAGCUUGGAUCGACAGAAGUUUCCUGCCUCGUCAUACUUGUCCUUCUUCAAAAGUUUGUAGGAGAUCUACAACUGAAAUCAACCAUCAAAACACCAACCCGAAAAAGACCACAAAAAUGUUAAAGCCUGCAGAUUACAUCAGUGAAUGAAACAACAACUAAUUAAGUGAUAAAAAUCUAUUAAAUAAUCAAAGCAAAAUUUUACCCAUUCUCACACCCUCAUGUCAGAGCAAAUAUAUUUCUUUCCGUCAAUCGACCCUCUAUUCUUGAAAAAAGAUGGAGUAAAAUACUUUUACCAUCACUUUCGCAUCUCUAACUUCUCACUCAUUCUAACGCUCAUGUCAUUAUAUUUAAACCCUAAAUCCUACACCCUUGUAAAUCUUAAGAGGACAUUUUUCGGCAUAACCGUCCGAACUGUGAAAAAUUGCAUAUAUCUGCAAAUUUUUUAUACAAAUUCCACUUUUUUAGGUAUAAUUGCAUCAUUUCCAAACUUUUGCAGGAAUUCAUAUUCAAUUGUGCCUAAAUCAAACGUAAUAGAAGGCUUUUAAGACAAAAUUGCUUAAUUAUUACAAAAACUACGAAUUAUAUUAAAGAACAAUUUCAAAUCAGUAAGAGCACUAUAAAACCCACAAAAGUUAAGAGGCGAUUUUCACCAUUUUCACUACCGAUCUCCUCAAGAACCUCACUUUAACAUGCUAAUUUAGGAUCAAAACGCCACUACAUGAAUCUAUCAGAUUCCUAAAUCUAAGAUUCACGAGACAAAUUGACGUGAAAAGUAAAGGAUAAAUGCGAAAAGAUUGCAUAUUUGGCCUUCUUGAAACAAACCCAAAUCAAUAAAUCAAAAGAAACCAUGGGUUUCUUGCCCUAGAUCGAUAAUAAACACCACGAACAAGAUAAGUUACGGGAAAAUGAGAAAAAAAUGUCCUAAAAUUGCACAAAAAAUUCAUGCAAUCAUUGGAUUAAACCCUACGAAGCCCUUUAAACGAGGAUUAUAGAGAAAUUGGAGAAAAAUUCGAGGAUUGGGGUUGGAAAUAACCUCUCUUCUCAAAAGGGGGGGGGCGGGGGGGUGAGGAUCGAGAUCGGAGCCCUAAUUUCGCCUCAAAUCUCAAUCGAACGAUUUGUGCGACGGGAUUAAGGUCGACUCAGGAUCGGGAAAUUUGCGUAUUUGUCCUCGAAAUUUUACGUAAUUUGCAAAUGUUACGAAGAAAGUUAAAUGAGAAAGGAGGGAAAUGAGAAAAAAAAAAAAAAAAAAAAAAAGUGAAAUGUGUAACUCAUAACGACAUAAAAUUUAACAUAAUAAUUACAAACUGUUUAUAAUAUAAAUAUAAAUAAGUAAAUAAAAAAUAAUUUUUAUCAUAUUUUGGUGUAGAUAAAAUAGUUUUACAAAAGGAUGGAAAUGGUUGAUAUGACGGGUAAGAUAUGACGGUAGAAAUAGAGAUAAUUAUGCCGUGUGUGUGUGUAAUAUAAUAUAUAUAUAUAUAUAUAUAAUAUAUAUAUAUAUAUAUAUAUAUAUAUAUAUAUAUAUAUAUAUAGAGUGAGGCUACUAUGCUAUCGAGCCGGAGCCUUCCGUGCUUCCACCUUGUUUUCGAUGUUGCGACUUUCGAAUCGUCGAUCGGCUCCGUUAAACUUGAUCUAGAGUAUUUGGAGUACUAGAAAAUAAAUUUUAUGAUUUUUCGAUAUCAUUUGCCUAGUGAACGAAGGGCUCAAAAUCAACGGCUGAAAAUAAAAAUCUUAUAAAACGUAAUAAUAUGACAUUAAAAUUUUAAAUCAAAAAUAUUGAUCUUGUUUUAUUAGUAUAAAGAAUUUUCUAUCAAAAUUUCACGUAAUUUGAAUAUUUACACCGUUAAACUUGCAAACGGCUCACCAUGGCCAUUAAAAUUAUUAAUUUUGAGUCCCUUCGAUCACUAGGCAAAUGAUAUCGAAAAAUAAUAAAAUUUAUUUUCUAGGUACUCCAAAUACUCUAGAUCAAGUUUAACGGAGCCGAUUGACGAUUUGAAAAUCGCAACAUCGAAAACGAGAUGGAAGCACGGAAGGCUCCGUGCUUCCGAUAGCAUAGUAGCCUCACUCUCUAUAUAUAUAUAUAUAUAUAUAUAUAUAUAUAUAUAAGCACCUAUUUCAAAUUUCUAUCGGUCGCCGGACCUAUUUCAAAAUUUCUCGCAAAAAAAAUAACGUAACAAAACAAACUUUUAGUUUCUAUUUUUUCUCGAAACAUUAAUAUUUCUUAUUCAAUAUCUUUUCUUUUAAAGAUAAAUAACUAUAUAUUAUCUGCAUUCUAUCUAUUAAUAUUUUAUUGUUAUAUUCACUUUUAUUGAUUGUAAUCAAUAAUCAAAUUUAAAUUUAAUUGCAAAUAUAUAUCUAAAUUUUAAUAUUAUUUUAUUUUAAAAUUUUAUUGACCUAAAAUUUAGAGUUGAAAUUUAAUUAUAUACUGUAAAUUUCUAAAUUUUUAAAUUAAAAUUAAAUUUGAGUUUUAUUCGUGAAUUAAAUUUACUUUGGAUAUUAAAUUUGAAUUAAUAAUUAAAAUUUCUUUAUUAAAGUGAAAAAAAUAAAAUUUAGAUUUUGAGUUAAACGUGAAUUAAAAUUUUGACAUUUUUAGUUAAAAAUAUAUAUUUAAAUUUUGGAUUCAUACGAAUUCAAAAAUAUACAAAAAUAUUCAAUGCAUAUCUAUAUCUAUAUUAUAUAUGUGUAAAAUAAAAAAUACAACUAUAUAAUUAUUAUCGAUAAUAAUUAUUUAAAUUUGAGUUAGAGAUCACAGUAGAAGAUGGUUAAUUAAGACAACGGUUAAAUAGUAAAUGCAUACCAAUGUAUUAGAAAGAAAAAAUUUCUUUUUUACUCCUCAAAACGUCUGUAAGAAAAAAAGUUUUCUUUUUUCGAAAAUAAAAUUUCGGAAAAUGAAAAGAAAAGUUUUCUAUAAAAUAUGAAAAAUAAUUUUCAAAAAAAUAUAUUUUUUCUGCGAACCAGACACAAGGAAAAAAAAUUUUCAACCUAAGAUAAAUUUUAUAGGAUAUUUUUCGAGGAACCAAUCAGGUCCCCAAGCUAUUUGGAAUUGUUCCUCGGAAUAGGUUGUUACCUACAAAAUAUAUAUGCCAAUCUCUUUCUUUAUUAGCAAAAACUUUAUAAUUUUAUAUUUACAAAAUUAUUCUUGUGAUGCCGCUAAUCUUAUCAUUCCGACCCUAUCUCAGUCGAGACUCAUCUCACACACCGAUACCAACUGUGCCGUCCCAACUUUUCAGGGAUCACCUAUCCUAAGACUACUUCCGUUCUAAUAUGCUUAACUCUCUUAUCCUCUUGGACCUUGCCACUAUCCAAAAUGCUUAAGUCAGAUUAAGAAUUUAAUCCUACUAUAUCGUUCUUAUAUGUAGGACUACUUGGGAUCUCAUAAUUCUAAUAUAUGUAAAAAAAAAAUAUUACUUAUAAAUUUUUACUUCUUUCUCUCUAAAAUUUAUUUUCAAUAACACUAUAUUUAUAAGAAAAAAAAUUAGCCCCGAAGUGCAGGUGCAUUAACUAGUAUGCUCAUGAUGGUUCAAUUUUCGACCAUUCCCAUUCUUAAUUUUCCACAUUUUAUUUACUUUAUUUUAUUUUAUAUUAUCUUGCUAAAUACGCACAUUAAUUACACGUAAAAAUGUGAACUUGCUACGUAGUACGUACUAGGGCCGUUACUAUACUACAAGUUUACUAUACUACAAGUGUUCCACGUUUCCUCUCCAACCCUCUAUAAAUACGUGAAUUAUUUGCAUUACUAUUCCAACCACCACCAUAUCAUCUUCUUAGAGAGAGAGAGAGAGAGAGAGAGAGAGAGAAGGAUCAGCAAUGGCUUCGGUGUUCGAGAUCGGAAAGUUCGGUGCCCAGGUGAUCAGCGUGCCGGCGGAGAAGAAGCGCGACAAGGCGUCGUCGCCGCCUCUGCCUCCGAAGCCUGUUUUGAUCGUCUCGCCGACCGUCGCGGGUGUUUACCCGGUCGCAGUCUUCCUGCACGGCUUCAUGCUUCAAAACCAAUACUACACGCAGAUUCUGAAGCACAUCGCGUCUCACGGCUUCAUUGUUGUCGCACCGCAGGUCUGACCGUCUAUUUUUCUUACUAGUUGGACAAUCGUUUUCUGACGGUUUAAACUUUUACUGAUGUUCGUCAAAUGAUGCGAACUUCGUUGCAGCUCUACACCUUCAUCAGCACACAGUCGACGGAGGACGUGGAAUACGCUGUUUCCGUCGCCAACUGGCUGCCCGACGGGCUCCAACCUCAGCUCCCCGAUGGUGUCGAGCACGAUCUUACGAAGCUCACCCUAGCCGGACACAGCAGGGGCGGGCAUGCCGCCUUCGCCGUCGCCCUCGGCCUUGCAAAAACCCCCCUCAAAGUGAAAUUCUCAACCCUAAUCGGAGUCGACCCCGUCGCGGGAAAGAGCAAAUCGUCGCAGACGCCCCCGAAGAUCCUCACGUACGAGCCGUCCUCCUUCAACCUCGACAUCCCAGUCCUAGUCCUCGGGACCGGACUCGGAGACGAGAAGCCGAACAUGCUGAUGUGCAAGUGUGCACCGAAAGGAGUCAACCACGAAGAGUUCUAUUACGAAUGUAAGCCGCCGUGCUAUCAUGUUGUUUUGAAGGACUACGGGCAUUUGGACAUGUUGGAUGACGAUGCCCCAAAGAUUGCAAGGUACGUUUGUAAGAAUGGGAAGAAUAGCAAGGACGACAUGCGGCGGAGCACCGCAGGGCUCAUCGUCGCGUUCUUGGAGGCCUACGUCGAAGAUGAGAAAGACGACCUCGAAGCAAUACUGGAGGAUCCUCAGCUGGCGCCGGCCGUGCUCGACCCGGUCCGUCGCCGUGAAGAAUGAGAUGGAUUCUGUAUUUUAAAAGAAAUUUUCAUUUCAAUUUCAAAUUAGGGUGUGUUUGGUUUAACGUAAAACUAUGAAAAAAAAAUUUAGUAGAAAAAAAAAAUUUCGAGAGGAAAAUAAAUUUUACGUCAUCUAAUUUUUGGUUUGUAGGAAAAAAAAUAUAAUUUUCGUUACAGUUGUUUGAUUGAAAGAAAAAAAAAUAUAAAUAAAAAAUUAUUAUCUAUAUUUUUUUAUUUCAUAUAUUAUAUAUUAUUAAUAUAUAAUUAUUAUCAUAUUACAUAUAUUAGUAUUAUAAUUUAUGUUUAUAAAUAAAAUAUAUUUAAAAUAUAUUAUGCAAUAAUUAAGUAUAUAAUAUAAGAUAUAAUAGUAUAUAUUUAAUACUUUAAAAUAAAUUACUAGAUAUUUAUAAAUAAUAUUUAUAAAUAAAAUACUAUCUUUAAUAUAUGUAUAUGAGCUAGGCUGGUAUACUAUCGGUAACACGGAGGCAUCCAUGCUACCAAAUUGCUUUCAAUGAUAUGGCUUCCAAAUCGACGAUCGGCUCCAUUAAACUUGAUUUACACUAUUUAAAGUAUUUGCAAACUAAAUUUCAUAAUUUUUCGAUAUUAUUUGGCUAUUGAUUAAAAGGUCUCAAAAUUAACAAUUUUAAUGGUAGAUGUGAUGCGUUUGUGAAUUUGAUGUUUAAAAUAAUUCAAAUCUGAUAAAAUUUUUAUAGAAAAUUCUUUUCACUAUUUAGUGUAAGAUCGGUACCUCCUUAAAUUCAAAUCUUUUAUCAUCAUUUUUUAUGAGAUUUUUAUUUUCAGCUGUUAAUUACUCGUUUGAUAGGUAAAUAAUGCUGAAAAAUUAUGAAAUUUAGUUUCCAAUUACUUUCAAUAGUGUAGAUUAAGUCUAAUAGAACCGCUCGUCGAUUUGGAAGCUGCAUCAUUGAAAAUAAUUUGAUAGUACAGAGGCCUCCGUGCUACCGGUAGUAUACCAACUUAGCUUAGCUCGAGUCCGGCUGGAAUACUAUAGAUGCACCAAGGAUUUGGUGCUAUCGAGUUUUUCACCGUUAGAUUUAACCCUUUGAUUAUUUUUACCUGUUAGAUUAUACUAUUCAACCAAUCACUCACUCAACCCUAGGGGGUCCGCAUCAUCCUAACCACGCAAUUCUUAAUCCAAGGGCUAAAAAACUAAUAGCACCAAUAGUUUAGUGCUAUUGAUAGUACUCUAGCCUAGUUCUAUAUGUAUGUUAAGGGUUUUUUUUGCAAAUAGCCCCCUGAGCAAUUUUUAUUUUAAAAAUAGCCCUAUCAAAAUUAAAAUUACAAAAAUGGCCCUGUCUCUGCCACGCAGGUGCCACGUCAGCGCCACGCGAGGCAGGGCUGGGGCCAGGGUAUUAAGUUGAACACGGUAAAUCAUUCACUAUAUCUAAACACAGUGAAUGGUUCACCGUUGUUUUACGUAUUUUUUGUAUAUUGAAAAGUGGAAUAAGGAGUAGGGUGUCAAUAGGUAUGGAUAUCCGAAAAUUAUCCGAUCAAACCCAAUAAAUUUAUAUAUAAUAUUAUAUAUAUAUAUAUAUAUAUAAAAUUUAUUCGGGUUUGGAUUCGGAUAAUAUUUCGGAUAUCCAUACCUAUUGACAUCCCUACUCCUUAUUCCACUUUUCAAUAUACAAAAAAUACGUAACAAAAAAUACGUACUAAACACGGUGAACCAUUCACCGUGUUUGAAUACGGUGAAUGGUUCACCGUGUUCAACUUAACAUACGGGCCCAGCCCUGCCCACGUGGCGCUGACGUGGCGCCUGCGUGGCAGGCUCAGGGCCAUUUUUGCAAAUUAAAUUUUAACAGGGCUAUCUUUAAAAUAAAAAUUUGUCAGGGAUCUAAAUGCAAAAAAAGCCCUAUGUUAAGGAUAGUAUUUUAUUUAUAAACAUUAUUUAUAAAUAUCUAGUAAUUAUGUUAUGGUAUUAAAUAUAUACUUUUGACGGUGCUUCUUUACAUAACUCAUUUUCUUAUAAAAAAAAAAGUAUUUAGGAGUCCAAUUACUUGGUUGGCUUUGUAAACCAAUUGGAAUUUUCUUGUUCUUCCAAUGUUUCGAAUUAUCAAAUGAAUAAAGGAGUUUAAGUGCGUAAUGUGCUUAAAACCGGAGAGCUACUAAGCACUAAUUUUGCAAAAAAUAUUCAAUAUAUAUAAUAAAUUAAUAAUGGGUUCAAUCUUAAUAGGUUCAUGAACUCUUGUCCCUCCCUUAAUGAAACCAAAACAAUAUCAUGACCAGAUUAUAUUGUAUAAAAUUUAAAAUUAAAUCCUUCUCAAAAUAAGUUGAUACUAUAUAUUCACCAUCUUCUUCCAUUAAUAUGGUUUGAUUGAAAAACUUAAUUAGAACCCAAAAAUUAGUUUACAAGGUGCCGCAAGAGCCACAAGUUUACAAAACGAAGCAGCUAUAUAUACAACAUCACGUACCCACUGCAACAAUAAAAUGAAUAGGAACACCACGCAAUUUGGAGAAGAUGAUGAACAGUUUAUAAGUUGUGCUAAGUCCAGCUGUAAUAUGAAUGUCACCGACCGAACUCGGAUAAUCUGAUUUCGCCUCUCGUCUCAAGCACUCUCUCAUAUACUGUGGAACAGAUGGUAAUUCUUUACCAGAAUACACGUGAGAAAGUGGCAAAAACCGGUACCCCUUUAUAUAGAGUACAAAUUGACUUUUCAUCAAAGUCUAAUAAAAAUUUUAUUUAAUUUAAAUAGAUGUAAAAAGAAUAAGAUAUAUCAUGUCAAGUGGUUAUAUAUAUAUCAUGUCAAGUUUUAAGAUUUAGAUGCCGUAUGAACCACAAGAUUGAACAGAUCAUCUCAACGAAAUAUCUGAAGCUCAAUUAUCUAUACUACUUAUAAAAACGUGAGUUUUAAAUUUUUUUCUCUUUCCAAAAAUAUCUCUAUCUUUUCUACUAAUAUUUUUAUGUCCAGUAAUUUGCAAGUUUCAAAUAAUUUUUCAAAUAAUAAUUUAUUCUUAAAUAUAGAUCUUAAAUUUUUACCGUUGGAUCUCAUCCAAUGAUUAAAAAUUAAAGUAUCUGUCACUUUUCUUGACAAAAAUACCCUCAAUAUCCGUUAUCUCCUAUCUACGCGUUUUACAAAUAUCUACGCAUUUUCUCAAACGUAAUUUCCGUCAUAACUUAAAAUAUCCGUUAUAUCAUAUCUAUGGGUUCCUUAAAAAUUUUGUUUCUCACACACGUUUUCUCAAACACUAAUAUCCGUUAUCUCCUAUCUACGCGUUUUACAAAUAUCUAUGCAUUUUCUCAAACGUAAUUUUCGUCGUAACUUAAAAUAUCCGUUAUAUCAUAUCUACGGUUCCUUAAAAAUUUUGUUUCUCACACACGUUUUUUCAAACGCGUCAUAAAUUAAAAUAUCCGUUAUCUCCUAUUUACGUAUUUUUCAAAUAUUUUCUUUCUCACACGUAAUACUUGGGCCAAUCACGUAAAAUAUUACUAAAAAGAUUUAAUACCCACCUAAGCAAAACUAAAUUAUUAAUUAAAUAUAAUUUUAUAUUUUUAAAUUUUUUUAGUAAAAUAUUCAAAAAUAAUACCCGCCAAAAUAUCUUAUGUAUUUCUCAAAUAUAAAACAUAUCUUAAUGCACUCGCAUAUUAUAUCUACAUAUCUUUGCAUAUAAUAUCUACACUAUCCAAUUUUUAUCUCAUCUUAAUAUUUAUUCACACACAGAAUAUAUUUUUUUGAAGACAUAUUUUUUUAGUAACAUCUUUUUUUAUUUUCACCUAUAUUUUUCUCAAAUAUUUUUCAUAUGUCCACAUCGCUAGCACCAGUAUAUCGUAGCAUAUUGUUAUCGUCAACACCAACACAUUAUCACUUUCGCCACCUUCGUCAUAAUAGAGGUAUUUUGAUCUCACCUGAAAUUUUUUUAUUUUUUUAAUGUGCAUUUAUAGUAUUUUAGCAUAUUUUUUUGAUAUUUUUUUAUUUUUACAUAUACGUUUAUCAAAUAUAAAGUAUAUAUAGUGUAUAAAACAUGCAAAAAUUUUUCAAAAUAUGAGCGAUAGGAUUCAAAAUUCUUCUAAAAUUAUAUUACUAUUUUUACGAUCUUUUUCAAAUCAAUAUAUAUAUAUAUAUAUAUAUAUAUAUUUUUUUUUUUUUUUUUUGAGGGUGUAAAAAAUAUUAAAAUUUUGUCAAAUUAAGUUCAAUUAAUUUGAACAUUAAUUGGAGAAUAGUAGUAUAGUUAGUUCUAAUUUCAAUUUCAUUAAUAAUUUUAAAUAAAUAUAUAUUUUAGAAAAAAAUUAUUUGAUAUUUUUAAAUAAGUUUACGUUCAUUGCACGUGAAUAUGACUUUUAAUAAAUAUCUGAAGCUCAAUUAUUUAGUACUUGCAACAACUGGGUACAACACGUGUUACAUCCUUUUAGGAUUUUUAUGUCCUUAAUUAAUUAAUUAAUUAGCAUACUAAAAACUUUAUAUUUAGCAUUACAAGCUUGUUUUUUUUAUUUUAUUUAAUGAACUUAUUAACAUCACAUAAUAGAAUUUAAUACCUUAUUAAAAGCUUAAUUAGGUAGCACUAAAUUUAUUUUUAAAAAUAAAGGCUAAAAUAAAAACUCAGGAAAAAUCAACAAACGCUAGUACAAUAGAAACUUAUAAGAAAUUUAAGAAAAGUUUCAAAUUACGAUUCCACAAAAUGCAUGCAUAUUAUUCUUCUCUCUCUCUCUCUUCUUCUCUCUCUCUCUCUCUCUCUCUAUAUAUAUAUAUAUAUAUAUAUAUAUAUAUAUAUAUAUAUAUUCUAUAAUUUAUGUAAAAUCACAAAAAAUAAAUAAAUAAAUAAAAAGGAGAAAACUUAUUAUUCCUUAAAAGUGAUUAUUGUUGCAUUCCCGAAUAGACCCCUCACAUUAAAUUUUUUUUUUUAUGGACACUCUUAAAACAUUUUUUUUCAUUUGACGUGGUGGUAGGAAUGUCAAUGGAUAUGAAUAUCCGAAAUUUUAUCCAAAAUCGAAUCCGAACGGGAUGGAAUUACCCGAGUUAAACGGUUAUGGAUUCGGUUAUGGAUAUAGAAAAUAAAAACCUUAUGAAUAUGGAUACGGGUAUGGAUUUUGUAUUUAACCGAUCCGAACCGGAACCCAAACCCGAAGCCGAACACGAAUAAAUUAUAUAAAUGCAUAAUUUAUUUUUCUUUAUUUAUAUAAUAUAUAAAAUAUUUAAUAAUUUUUUAUCUUUAGAUCUUCAUCCAACAGUAUGGAUUUUUAAAACCCGCCGAAGUCGGGUCCGGAUUCAGGUUUCGAGUUUUUGGUCAGGUACGGAUAUGGGUAUGGAUUUUUAAAACCCGCCGGGUUCGGGUCCGGAUUCGAAUUUUAAUUUGGUUUUCGGGUUCGGGUUCGGAUUUUUAAAAACCCGACCCAAAUCCGACCUGUUGACAUCCUACGUGGUGGGUGAGUGGAAAGGGGUUUUUUUUUUUUGGAAAAUUUAUGAGAGGAUUUAUUUUAUUUUAAAAUAAUUAUAAUAAUAAUAAUAAUAAUAAUAAUAAAGAUUGUGGGCCCCAUGUAAGGAGAUAUGAUAGGAUUAGUACAUGUUUUUUGGAUAAACUUCAAAUAUCAUAUCUGUGGUUUCGCACUUUCUCACUUUAGUGCCCUGUAGUUUAAAGUGUAUCAAGUUAGUGUCAUAUGAUUUUAUUUUUAUCUUUUCGUCAGCUUUUUCGUUAAUAUUUCAUAAAUUAUAUAUAAAAAAUUUCAGAUACCCCACCUUGGUUUAUCGAAUAUUCACUUUAGUAACCUUUAAUUUUAACUUUGUCAUUGAUUUAACGAAAAAAAUUAGUAAAAUCGAUAAUAAAAAGAUAAAAAUAAAAUCAUAUGGCACUAAAUUGAUACACUUUAAAUCGCAUAGUAUUAAAGUGAGAAAGUAUGAAACCACAAGACGAUAUUUAAAUUUUUUUCUAUUUUUUUAAAUUGUGGACCCCACGCUUCUUUCACAAAGAGAGAUGGUGGGGCCUACAUCUUUUUUGAAAAUGAGAUAUGAAAAAGCUAUAUUUAUGAAUCUCAAAUGACUCCCCUUUUUAAUUUUGAUGUGGGCCCCCUUUCUCUCACAUGUGAGAGAAAGAAAAUAAUAAUAAUAAUAAUGGGGGUUUACAUUUUUCUCAUACCAAUACGAAGAUAAAUUCGAGGUGGGUUUAUAUUCAAGCUUAAGAUUAGAUUUGAGCUAGACUUGAAUCAGAUUUGACUUAGCCAUAUUUGAAUUUUAAAAUUUAAAUCUAGCACAUCACCCUCUUUUCUUAUUGCACUGAAAUAUAGACGGUGGCUAGACCCGAAAGAUUAAGAGAAUUAAACGUAUUAGGACAGGAGCAGUUCAAUAAUGGGUGACCACAUGAGAAGUCUGGGCGUCACAGUUGGUAUCAAAGCUAAAUACCAGUCGGAAGUGUGAGAUAGGUCUCGACUGAACCAAAAUUAUACAGUGGGGAGAGCGAGACUCUCAUACUGUUGAUUGCUGUAAGUGAAGCGCAGCUAACCGUAAAGUUGGUUUAGACUAGCGAGACGAGUCUCAUAUCGCAUGUUACUUAUGAGUUGAGCCUAACGAGGACAGCAGUGCUUGGGGGGGAGAAUGUGGAAUAUGAGACCCUGUAUAGUCCUAUAUAUAAAAUAUAAUAGGACUAAAAAUUCUUAACCCAACUUAAACAUUUUGGAGAGUGACUAGGAUGGGUAACUCUCUGGAAAGUCGAGACGUUCCAUACUAAACAUUUUACAAAUCUACUGUUCAAUAUGAUGUCGAGGUUCGGACGAAAAUAGCACGUUACCCGCUUCGUUUAUUUCAUUUCGAAAUAAACUUAGCUAAAAAUAUGAGUCAACUAGGAUUCGAACUUGGGUCUCGGAUACCAAUUAACAAGCCCUUUGCCACUUGCUCUAGGGAUGAUCGGUCACGAGAUCAACAAAUUACCUCAACUAAAAAUUAGUAAAGCGUGGUCUCUCAACGAAGUCGCUCUCAGUAAUAAUAUUCUUAAGAAGCACAAUAGUACGAGAAUAUAAUUUCAUUAAAAUUUGAGAAUGUUAUUUUGAUCCUAUCUCAUAUAAAUGGUGUCCACAAAAUCUAAAGCUCAAUUAUUGAGUACUUGCAACAAACGUGGUACUAACACAAGUUGCAUAUGCUUUUUAGCUUUUUUAUGUCCUCAAUUAAUUUGCAUGCUCUACAAGCUUUUUUUUUUUUGUACUAUUAAUGAACUUAAUUAACAUCACAUAAUAGAAUGAAUUGAUUUAAUACGUUGUUACAAGCUUAAUUAGGUAGCACUAAAUUCAUUUUUAAAAAAUAAAGGCUAAAAUAAAAACUUAGAAAAAAGUCAACAAAGGCUGGUUACAAUAGAAACUUCUAAGAAAUUUAAGAAAAAGUUCCAAAUUACGAGUCCACAAAAACAAAAACAAAAACAAAAACAAAAGGAGAAAACUUAUAUAUCCUCACAUUUAAUUUUUUUGAUCGACACUCUUAAAACUCAAAUGAAUAUAUAUAUUUGAGUUUUUGUAAUUAAUCAGGUCAAAAUUUUUUGUUAAAUUUCAUGGAUUAAUUGGACAUUAGUAAUUAAUAAUGUGAUUUAUUUGCUACGAGAUUGUUUACAGUAUUAAAUAUGAUAAAAUUGUCAAUUAAUUUGCUAAAAGUAUUAAUUUAUUUGGCUAAAAUUACUUAAUUUUCAAAGAAUCAAAAGUUAAGGGGGUCACAAUUAAACAUUUAUAAAUGGAAAAAUUUUAUGGAGAACUCCUCAACUACAGGCUAUUCGGAAAUAAACCCCUACAUUUCUUUUUCUUAGUCAAUUAAUCCGUAUUUUUUCAACUUGUAUUAUUUUAACUUUAAGUUAUCUUUAAAUUUUAAUUAAAAUUUUCAAAUCGUAUCCAACUGUGUAAAUUUAUUGCAUCAAAAAAUUUAUUUAAUUUACUAAAACUCCACUACUCAUAUAUAUUUAUUCUAAUUUUGAAAUUUUGAAAUUUAAAUUGUAUUCUACGGCACAAAUUUAUUUCAAUCUUAAAUUUUAAACUGCACUUCGCAAUCGAGAUUUAUUUAAUUUAUCCUACAAAAACUUUGCAGUCCAAAUUUAUUCUAAAAUUAAUACGUAAAUCAUAUUCGAUAACUUAUUAAUUUUGACAAUUAAUAUUUAUUAUUAUUAUAGUUCAAAUAAUUUGGGAAUGAAUAAAUCCAAAAGCACAGGGACUAAUCCAACACGUAACUAAGUGUUAAUUUCCGAAUACGUUUGUAACGGUUCAAUUUACGGCCAUGCUCUGUUAUUAAUUUCUCAUGUUUUAUUUAUUUAUUUUAUUUAUUGAAAAUAACUUUGAACAAUACAAGGAAAAGUGUGAACUUGCUACUAGUGCUAUUACUACUGCAUGUGCUCCACAUUUCCUCUCCAUCUCUCUAUAAAUAUGUGAAUUAUUUGCAUUACUAUUCCAACCCACCACCAUAUCAUCUUCUUAGAGAGAGAAAGAUAUUGAGAGAGAGAGAGAGAGGGGGGGAGAAGGAUCAGCAAUGGCUUCGGUGUUCGAGAUCGGAAAAUUCAGUGUCGAGGUGAUCGUCGUGACGGCGAAGGAGAAGGGCGAUGAGGCGGCGUCGUCGUUGCCUCCUAAGCCUGUUUUGAUCCUCUCGCCGACCAACGCGGGUGUUUACCCGGUCGCGGUCUUUCUGCACGGCUUCUUGCUUCAAAACCGAUACUACACGCAGCUUCUGAAGCAUGUCGCGUCUCACGGGUUCAUUGUCGUCGCACCGCAGGUUUGACCGUCUAUUUGUCUUACUAGUUCGACGGCUGUUUUCUGACGGUUUAAACUUUUACUGACGUACGUCAAAUGAUGCACCGCAUUGCAGCUCUACACCUGCAUUCUGGCGAACUCGACGGAGGACGUAGAAUCCGCUGCCGCGGUCGCCAACUGGCUGCCCGACGGGCUCCGACCUUUGCUCCCCCGCGGUGUCGAGCCCGACCUUACAAAGCUCGCCCUAGCCGGACACAGCAGGGGCGGGCACGCCGCCUUCGCCGUCGCCCUCGGCCUCGCAAAGACCCCCCUGGAAGUGAAAUUCUCAACCCUAAUCGGAGUCGACCCAGUCGCGGGAACAAGCAAAUCGUCGCAGACCCCCCCGAAGAUUCUCACCUACGAGCCGUCCUCCUUCGACCUCGACAUCCCGGUCCUAGUCCUCGGGACGGGGCUUGGAGAUGAGAAGAAGAACAUACUCUUCCCGGCGUGUGCACCAAAAGGAGUCAACCACGAAGAGUUCUACUACGAAUGUAAGCCUCCGUGCUACCACAUUGUUAUGAAGGAGUACGGACAUUUGGACAUGUUGGAUGAUAAUGCCCCGAAGAUCAUCGCAAAGUGCCCUUGUAAGAACGGGAAGAAUUGCAGGGACAUCAUGCGGCGGACCACUGGGGGGCUCGCCGUCGCGUUCUUGAAGGCGUACUUCGAAGGCGAGGACGGCUAUCUCCAAGCAAUACUGGAGGAUCCUCAGCAGGCUCCGACGGUGCUCGACCCGGUCUCUCGCCGCGAAGCGAAGAAUGAGAUGGAUUCUCUUGUUGCCUUUCUCUAAAUUUAAGCUUCGACAAAUUGCAAUGUAAUAGUACAACAAUAAGAUCAAAUAAGGUCAUUGUUUUACACAUCUAUCUUUUAGAGGAUAUGAGCUCAAAUCAUCGUCCCGAAGUCAAUUUUAAGACAUUUGAUUCGACGAUCUGAACCGUUAAAAGAAAAAAAAAAAAAUUUAAGGUAUAUAAAGAAGUUAGUAAGAGUAGGUCUUGUGUGCUAUUAGGUCUCCGUACUUUUAAGUUGUUUUCGAUGAUGGAGCUUCCGAAUUAACGAUCGGCACCGUUAGAUUUAAUCUAGCGUAUUUGAAAUAUCUAGAAAAUAAAUUGUGGUUUUUCAAUAUUAUUUACCCAACAAUUGAAAAGGUUCAAAAUCAACGGCUGAAAAUAAAAAUCUCACAAAAAAAUGAUGAUAUAGCACUAAAAUUUUUUAUCAGAGAUAUUGAUCUUGUUGUAAAUAGUAUAAAGAAUUUUUUAUCAAAAUUUCAUCUGAUUUAAAUACUUCUACACCAUUAAACUUACAAAUGGUAUAUAUCACCAUUAAAAAUUGUUGAUUUUAAAUGCUUUCGAUCGUUGGAUAAAUGAUAUCGAAAAAUCACAAAAUUUAUUUUCUAAAUACUUCAAAUAUACUAUAGUCUAAUGGAGUCGAUCGUCAAUUCGAAAACUCCAUCAUAAAAAAUAGCUUAAGAGAGCGGAGACCUCUUAACUGCUCCUAAUAGCACACAAGACCUAGCCAGCUAAUAAAAUAAAAAUUAUGAAAUUUCAAUCGCAUUAAAUAUAUCAAAAGGAUCUAGCUAUUUGAUUUCUCGAAAAUUUACCAAAGACUUUUUCUAGAAAAAAUAAUUUCGCAAAAAAUUAAAAAAAAUCCGUUCUAUAAUUUUUCUUUUCUAAAUAAAAACUCUGAAAAACAAAAAGAAGACCUCUCCAUCAAAUUUGAAAAAAAAAAAAAUACUAAGAAAAAUUAGUUUCUUUCUGAGAAUCAAACGGGAAAAAAAAAAAUCCAACUAAAAACCAUUUUAUGGGAUUUUUCCCGGAAUCCAAACACCACAGUAUAAACACAACAAUUUAUGAGCUAUAAAAUUCAUACUGAAGUACACAAUUAGCAUGUUCCUGAUAUCCAACAGACCAAACAGUAGACCAAAAAAUUAGGAUUCCAUUUCAAUCUCAAGAUAUGUGAUAACAAACUUAAUCUUCCAGCUAAUACAUAAGAUGGAAAAAGAAGGUGAAGAUCGUCAAUGAUCUUAAAUUGAAUCACCAAUAAACAUUCAUAAUUCUAUAAUGUGCUACAAGAAUUUCUUCCUCAUCUAUUGCUUGAUUUAAAUGCAGCAUAUAUUCCGAAUCUUUGAGCUUGUCCUACUUUACAGAGAUAUUCAGCAGCUUCAUACUUAAUAGGAGGAAUAAAUAAUAAUUUGGAAGGAAAAAAGAUUGCUUUUCUUCCUUCUCUCUUCUUACUAAUCAUUCCCAUUCGACGGUGGCCGGUGGUUUCGACGUGAUAUCCUGGCACACGCGGUUCACGCCGCGCACAUUGUUGCAGAUCUUUCGAACCACGUCGACGAGGAACUUCUGGUCAAAGUAAUACCUAGAAAAAAAUUGAAGAGUGAACAACCGCAGAGAGAUCAAAAUAACCAUGAUGAUAGCAUUCGGAAGUGGCGCGGAGAUAUGGAACAGUGGGCUUAGGACUAGCAGGCAUCGCAGAAAAGAAACAACCCCAGAGGUCAAAUUAGCAAUUUCACGAGUCAUCAGUAGUACGCAUUACCAAGGCUACGAAAUAUGCUAUCAGGAUGAGAUAAAUCACCGCAAACAUUUCAGUAGUUUAGGUAACAGCUCCUGCUGAAUCGACUACCACCCUGUUUCAUCAUCUAACGUUAAAUGAUAAAGCAACGCAAGAGCCAACAUUGAUUAUCAUGCAUAUAUCUCUCACACUGUCAAUGAAAGUUAGAUUACGUUUAUCUAUCUGAACAGUAUUAUGCAGAUCCUAUUGAAGCAUCUUCUUGUUCCUUUUCUAUGCGCGAUCGUCGGGAACCAUUUUGACGUUUAUCAAAAGUAUAAAUACAUAUAAAUAGAUGAAUUAAAGGUAACAAUUAUGUAGUAGAAAAGGCAAAGAAUAGAAAACUGACAUUUCUCAAAAGAACUAUAAUAUUACUCACCAGUCGGCAGUCAUUCCAUCCUCACUAGUAAUCGCUCGAAGAACCACCACAUGAGAAUGAGUUCGUUGGUCGCCCUGAACUCCAACUGACUGCACCGGCAAAAACACAGCAAAGGCUUGCCAUAUUGAAUCAUAAAGGCCAGCAUCUCUAAUUGACUGAAUAAAUAUCUCGUCCACCUGAGGAAAUCAAAUUGAAAAAUUUAAACGUCGAAUUGCUGCAAUAGACGACUUUGUACUUCUGAUGUGUAAUAUCACCUGUCGAAGAAUCUCUAGGGCAUUUCCUUCCGUAACAUCACCCAAAACACGAACAGCAAGGCCAGGUCCAGGGAAUGGAUGUCUCUUCAAAAAUGAGUCGGGUACAUUUAAUAUGCUUCCCAGUGUCCGUACCUUACAAAGAAAUAAAAAUACAGAGUAUAGCAGUUUUUGAAUUUCCAAAGAGCUAACAUGGAAAAAAAAAUUCACAUUAUGUUAGUUCACUCGUGCGAACUUUUUAGACUAAACAUGAUAAAAGUUGUGUGGAAAUAGACGGACAAACCUCAUCUUUAAAAAGGAGUUUAAGGGGCUCGAUAAGCUUCAGCUUCAUAUCUUUUGGAAGGCCUCCUACAUUGUGAUGACUUUUGAUUGUGUGAGAGUGGGUCCUCCCGCUCCCAGGGGGUGGACACGACUCUAUCACAUCUGGAUAUAAAGUUCCUUGAACCAAGAAUGUAGGUCUUUUCCCUAGUUUCUGCUCUAACUCGUGAGCAAAAUCAUCAAAAAUCGCAAUGAAUUCUCUACCAAUUAUCUUUCUUUUCAUCUCCGGGUCUUUGACACCUUUUAGCUUACUGAGGAACUGCUCAGAUGCAUCAAUACAAGUAACGGGCAGAUGUAAGUCUCUCUCAAAGGUUGACAUCACCCGCUCUCUCUCCUUAUACCUAUGAAACAGAAAACACCUUAUUAGAUCAAAUCUGUGAUGAACACUCUUCUAUCGAUAAAGUAGUAAAAACUGAGUUACCUUAACAAACCAUUGUCAACAAAAACACAGUGCAGCCUAUCUCCAAUUGCCUUGUGAAUGAGAGUCGCUGCAACAGUUGAAUCCACUCCGCCAGAUAACGCACAAAUGACAUGCUCGUCGGAUCCUACCAUCCCAUUUAUGACUCUGAUCUCUUCCUCGAGUACGUCUUGCAUCUUCCAGUCAGCAGUUACCCCACAAACAUCAAAAAGAAAAUGCUGCAGUGUUUCCAUUCCUUGUGUCGAAUGAGUAACCUACAACGAUUCGAAGAAACGAACAUCAUAAUGAGGCAUCAAAAGUAUUGCCACACUUAGGCAUCCGAAAAAUAACAUAAUGCUGGCCCAUGGAAAUUCUCCAUAAAUCACCGACUUCCACCAAGAAUUUUGAGACCAAUAAGUUUCACUUGGGGAUAAGUAGCACAAUAUAUCGAUUUCACACACAAAAAUGCUGUCGAAACAUUGAAGGAGCAACCAAAAAGAGAUAUCUUGUCGGACUCGAGAAACUAAACAACAAAAAAGAUAUCUUGAUGGGUUGUUGUAGAUCCAAGAGUGAAAAAAACUUAGAAGUAUGUGGAUAGUGCUACACUUCUACAAGUAUUCUAGCUCAACUCCAGAUAUAUAAGAAGCCAUAAAUUUAUGAACAUUUAAGUAUGUUACAUCAAACUAUACUAGAAGCGAAAAUUCACCCGUAUUCAACAAACACGUGAAAGUGAAACAAACAACCCAACAAGGCAUUAAUACAUCACUUAGCCAAAAAGUGCUUAAUCCAAAAGCUAUUUCUCUUCAUACAAGAAAUCGACAAAGAACAAUCGCUCAUGUUUAUUUUCGCUAAGUUUCAAUUACAAUAGGGCAAAAUUGAUUCUUCCUACUACUGUAUAAAAGAUCUACAAGAAAUCGAUAUAAUUAUCGAAAGAAACGCAAGUAUUUACCCUAAGGAACACAAUUAUCGACAUUUUACCUCUGGAUGGUACUGAAGCCCAUAGAACUUCCUCGAAGGGUCCGCGAUCGCCGCGACGGAGCCCUGGACGCUCCUCGCGACCACAUUGAACCCCUCCGGGAGACGAACCACCUCGUCCCCGUGGCUCAUCCACACCGUCUGAUGCCCCCCGGCCGCAUCGGGGCCGUAGAGCCCCGAGCCGCCCGCAUCCGCGGCGACGGCGAUCUCCAUCUUCCCGUACUCCUGCUUCUCCCCGACGGCGACGACGCCGCCGAGCUUCUGGACGAGGAGCUGCAUCCCGUAGCAGAUGCCGAGGACGGGGACGCCGUUCUCCUCGGCGUAGCGGAGGAAGCCGUCGGGGAAGGAGGGGGCGGCGUCGGUGUGGACGGAGUGGGGGCCGCCGGAGAGGACGACGGCGCGGGGGCGGAGGUCGGAGAUGGAGGAGAGGGGGGAGGUGCCGGAGAUGCAGAGGGAGAGGACGGAGAGCUGGCGGAUGCGGCGGGUGAUGAGGUGGGUGUACUGGGAGCCGUAGUCGAGGACGAGGACGAGGUUCCCGCCGGCGGCGGUGGCGGUUACGGCGCCGCCACCUCCUGCGGCGGCGGCGGAGGGCUUCGCCAUUAACGGGGUUGAGGCGAGGUUUAGGGUUAGGGUUAGGGUUAGGGUUUAGGGUUUGUAACAACCCUGAAUAAAUGGUAGAAAUAGUAGUAAUAGGAGUUAGUAUGGGAGAGUAGUAAAAGUAGCAGUUUUACUAGUUAAGAUGGAGAAUAAGGGCGGCAGCCGGUCGGAGAGGAGGAAGCGCGCCAAGCGGGACGGCGGGAAGGUGCUCGGGUGGAACUCCGAUGAGGACUAGGGCAUCCUGGGUGCUCCGAAGGAGAAGAGGGAGGAUCGAGGUAGAUGGGCGGAGGCUUCUGCAGGAUCUGGAGGGCGGGGGACGAGAGCGGAGGAAGAGGUAACUCGAUAGCGGGUAGCGGGCGGUCGGAUUACCGGAUCGGGCGUAAAACACGGACCCAAGCCCCGCCCGGUUGUGGAUAGUGCGGAGUAGGCGGACCCGCGAACCGCUUACCCGAUUAUCAUGUAGUUUCGGACCAAACAAGCCCACCCGAGGCCCACAAGCAACCAGAUUCAACCCAUCAGGCCUCAAUUCCCAUUUUAUGUCAAAUUGCUGUUAAGCCCUCGUAGGAUAGUUUAAUUUCAAUUCAGUACAAGCUGUAUGGGAUAUAUAUAGCUAAUAGGAUGUAAUUGGAAGGUAUCGAUGAAAUGAAAUAUUGCUUAUCUUCUUCCCCAAUCCUUCUCUAAAUCCUUCUUUGCUUCUAAGCUCCCUAAUUCUCCUCUCUCUUCUCUACUUCUAAUCCCUAUCCUCAUCUCUCUGUAUCUCUCUCUGUCUCUCUCAUUCCCAUCAUCUCCCAAUUCACGCUCCUCAAUCCGAGGUCUCAUCGGAUCGCGAUUGGGAUCAGGUUGGUCACGCCAUCAUCCCGGUUAGCCAUCCAUCUCCAUUGAGGGUUGCUAACAGGUCCGGCACAUUACAGGGUUUUGGGGGGGCAAUCAAAGAGAAGAGUUUAUAGGCGAGCGCUCGUGAUCGCCCAACUGUUUUUGAGAAAUCACGACCGUCCAUCUUUUCUAAACAGGCGAAGGUAGGUUUUUUUUUUUUUUUUUUUUUUUUUUUUUUUUUUGCUUGAACUCGGCAGAGUUGGAUAAGUCGACGCCGACUUCAGCGAUUUUCAAAAAGAGCGCAUGAUUUUUUCUUCAUUUUUUUAAAAAACAAAAUAUACACAUCAACACCAAGAGUUAGGUAUCAAAAUUCAUGUACCAACUCCAACAUAAGCUCAAUUUAAUAUUCAUUUUACAUGUUUAUUUUUUCUUUAGAUGAAAAAGACUCUCAUUUACUAAUAUUUUGGGUCCAAAUCAAUAGCUAUCUGAAUAUGAUGUACCAUCGCAAGCAAAUUUUUCUUUGUUUAAUUAUUUUAUGUGAAAUCCACAUAUGAUUGAUGUAUUGUACAUAGAGAUGGAGAAUUUUUUAGUACUAUAGUUUUGAUUCAUCAGUAAAUAUAAGAGCUUCUGCUUCAGUAUUUAAAGUUGAUAGAACAAGCAAAUAAAUCUACACCCCAAAUAAUGAAAACUAAGUAUAGCGUAAAAAUUUUGUUUUCUACUACGACAGAAGCAGUAGAAAAAAAACGUCGAUUAUAUAAUUUAAGCUUUAAUUUAAUCUCAAGUUAAACUUCGAUGUGUUAUACUAGCUGGAAGAUUUAACAGAUUUUGGUAAUUGUUCUUCUGAAUUAAACCAAAUGAAAAACUAAAUUGACUUUUUCAGAGGACUGUUGUGAGCUGAUGUUUUUGUGACAAUGAGGAAUUAAUUUAAGAAACAUAUGUUAAUUUUUUGGAUUUAAAUCAACUUGUAUUCUUAUUUAAAAACAAAGAUCACCACAAUUUGUAUAAAAAUGUAUUUUGGACACCUUGAGUAAGACAAGUUGAGCACUCCCAUAAGAAUCCACAUGAAACCCUAUGCCUAAAUCAUGAAUUUAUUAAAUUAAAAGCCAUAUGGAUGAGAAGCACUUCUUAUAAGUUAGCUAUUUCAAGCUCUACCAUUGAAUCAUUCAUUUAAAACCUCUCUCUCUCUCUCUAUGUUAUAAAUAGAUAUUAGGAUUGCUACGAUUACCCUAUAACACUGCACUUAUGCAUUACUGAUGUGUUAUCCGCAGAUUGACUUGCACAGCGUGAACCAACACGUCAGCAGAUAUAAGAGAGAUCGAUAAGAGUUACUACCUAUAACAUCUCUCUGCAAAUAUAUAUAUGUAGAUGCAAUACCAUGUGUAUUAUCAAACCAAUCUCUAUCUCUUUCUCUCCUUGAGAAGAUGCAAGAACUUCAAAAGAACACUCUCAAACUCCCCACCCUAGACCACUCACAACCCCUCCACCCUUCAACCCUCAACUCCCUCUCCAAAGCAUGCAAAGAGUGGGGCUACUUCCACAUCUCCAACCAUGGCAUCUCAACUGACCUCUACCGGCAACUCCGUGCCAUCUCUCUCGACGUCUUCAACCUCCCUUUAGGCACCAAACUCAAAGCAAGCCCUCGCACAUCCGUCAACACUUACACUCCACACUUCAUAGCGUCCCCUUUCUUCGAGACCCUCCGUGUCUCUGGCCCUGACUACUUUUCGUCGGCAAAGAGCUCGAGUGACGCCCUCUUUGAAACACCGAACGAGGAAUUAUGGUACAUCUACUCUUUUUCCAUAUGUUUCUAAGUUUGUAACUAACCCUUCUUUUCAUGUAUGAAUAGCGAAUUAAGUUCUUCAAGAAUAUGGAAGCAAGAUGAUGGACCUAUGCAAGAAGAUAGUUUACAUCCUUCUAAAGUGUUUAGGAGAUGGCCUCGAGACUAAAUACUACGAAUCGGAGUUCGGUCAGUGCCACGGAUAUCUUCGGAUCAAUCACUACACACCACCAAAUGAUAUCGAUGGAGUAGAAGGUGUCGAAGGGCUUGGAAUGCACACUGACAUGAGCUGCAUAACAAUUUUGUACCAAGAUGAGACUGGUGGGCUUCAAGCAAGAACUCAAGAAGGGGGUUGGGUGGAGAUCGAGGGAAGCGAGGGGGCUCUCAUCGUGAACGUCGGAGAUUUGAUGCAGGCGUGGACCAACGGUCGUAUGCGAUCGUCCGCGCAUAGGGCGGUCUUAAGGAAACCGACCACCUGCUUAUCUUUCGCCUUUUUUUGGUGCUUUGAAGAUGAGAAGUUAGUACUUGCACCUGAUGAAGUCAUCGGAGAGGAGGAACGGAGAAUUUACCGGCCUUUUCUCUGCAAGGAUUACAUGAAAUUCAGGCAUAAUAUUGAGAAAGGGAGGUUUGAGAAAGUUAGCUACACUAUCGAUGGGUUCGCGGAGGGUGAUGCUUUAGAUUCUAAUGAAAAGAUUGAGAAAUAAUGGGAAAUUAUUUGCUAUUUAUGCUGCAUUUGUGUAAGUCUGGUGGCAUGGAUUAGUAAUUAUCAUGUGUAUUAGUGAAAUUGAAUGAGAUAACUUAGAAGAGAAAAAGUUAUAAGAAAUUUGAUCACGCAUUCGACGAAAUUUCAUCAUGAAUUUGAUUUCUGGUAAAAUCAAAUUUUGUACAUACACAUAAUUCAUAGAUGGGUUGGUCCAAAAAUAAUCCUUAUAAGUGGCAAAAGGCAUGGUAGUCAGUACCCGAGGUUUCAAGUUCGAAUCCUAGUUGAUUCACAUUUUCAGCUAAAUUUAUUUCUAAAUAAAAUAAACGAAACGGAUAGCAUGCUACCAAUCUCUCUCAAAAAAAAAAAAGAAAGCACUACAUGGCAUUUCUUAUGUCAUGCACCUGCAGAGUUUGAAAACUACUAGACAGAUAAUAAGGCUUGUUAAAUUCAAGCUUAGGAAAAAAGCGACUGCAGGCUUAUAGAGAAUCUUAGGAAGAACUACUUUAAUCCGAAUGUUAUUAAUGCUCUUAAAAUAGUUUUACUCAAACUAAUCAGACCCUCGAACAAUAUUAACUUCCUAUUUCAGUCAUGGUAAUGUAAAACACUUAUCAAUGAUUCAACCAUCGAUAAUGUAUCGAGAUUAAAAAAAAAAAAAAAUUGAUUUGCAGAAGCGUCGCUCAGUUAGAGUUAUAUAAAAAAGCACUGAAUCAAACGUUUGACUUCUGCUUCUCAAGCAGAUAAAUUGUUCCAGUCCAAACAUGCACUGCAUCAGACGAAAAUUAGAUGGUCUUGCAGUGGUAGAACAUGGUGUUAAAAUUGUUCUAAUAUACAAAAAUUUAAGUUACACUAUGCUCAAACUUUAAUUCUUUAGAUUUUUUUGUUCGAACUUUAUAAAUAGUUGGAAUUAAGUUUUAGCUAAAUAUAUUAAAGAAUCCCUAACAUGAAAAUAAGGUUACAUCUUACUUUUUAUGGCAUCAUCUAUCACAACACUACUACAUCACUUGCAAAUUAACUACACAUUAGUAUUCAGCCAACUAAAUUAGAUUGUGGAACUAUAUUGCGACAAUUUAAAAAGUUCGAACAAAAAAUUACAACGAAUUAAAAUUUUGGUCCUCAUAGUUUGAGGACCAAAAGUGUAAUUUAUCCUCUACAAAAUGUAAAGCUGCUGCAGUAGAGGUUUGAGGGGUAAAAAUUUAAAUAAAAAAAUUGAUGCAUUUUACAUUUCGUCUGUUCUCUGAAACUAAUGACACUAGUGAAGGCCCGCGCUUCGCUGCAGAAGAUUUGCGCAUUUUUUAAAAUAUUUUGAACAAACUAAUAUAUUUCUGUAUUUACGUUGUUAUCAUUUAUUUUUAAAAUUUUAAAUUUAAAUUUUUAAUUUUCAAAUCUAAUUUUAAAUUUUAAAUUCUAAAAAAUUAAAGAGCUGAAAAAAAAUAAAACAAAUUAUUUAAAUAGAGAGGAAUAAAAAAUAAUUUGAAAAUUGAAGCGAGCAGAGAGAGGGAAAAAAGCAAAAAGAGCAUUGUCCGCCGCGCCCCGCGCUCCAGCUUGUCCGCGCCACACCGCGGGCCGUCCCACGCUCCUGUGUUUUUUUAUUCCAUUAAUUAAGAGAAAACAAUUAAAAAAAGAGACAAAAAAAAACAAAAAAAUUUAGAAAAAAGGUUAAUUUUACAUUAAAAAAAAAUAGUAAUUUUGCUCUUAUUUUGAACUUUUGUAAAAUAUUAUUAUUCAAGACCAAUCAAAUUUAAAGGGGACUAUUAUUGUCUGAUCUUAUAAUUUUUUAUCCAAAAAUUAAAAAGUUGAAAAUACCGACUGCCUUAUGCUUUCGAUAGCAAAACAACUCUACACAGAAGUAUAUAAAUAGUAUUUCAUAGUUUCUACCGUAUUUAUUAGCAUUCAUAAUAAUUAGCAGUUUAACAUAUAUAAAAAUUUUUGCUAAUAUUUCAUCAAAUGCAGAGAGAAUGAGAGAGAUGUAUAUAACCCGCACAAUUUGAAAUCGCAAUCAAAACUCUAAAAACAAUGACAAAAAAAAAAUAUUUUGCCAAUUUGUUUAAUUUCCUAACAAAAAACCCCAUUUAUUAUUGCGUUAAAACUCAGGAGGUUUGAGACUUAAGUUACUGUUGUUUGAAAAAAAAAAAGAAAAAAAAAAAGAGAAAAAAGAUGAGAGUGAGAGGUGCUUCACCGACCUCUUGCAUGAACUGAUAAGAGAUGCCCGAGCUGCAGCAUCCUUUGUGGAAAUCUCAUAUGCCGCCUCCUCUCCUCCUCUCCCUUCCUCCAAUCCAUUCUCAACUUUGUUUCCACUCUCUCUCUCUCUCUCUCUCUCUCUCGUCUCUCUUGUUUACCAAAGAGAGAGAGACCAAAAAGAAGAUCUAGCAAAGAGAGCUGCUCCAAGAGUAUAAUAUAUAUAUAUAAUAUAUAUAUAUAUAUAUAUAUAUAUAUAUAUAUAUAUAUAUAUAUAUAUAUAUAUAUAUAUAUAUAUAUAGGCGACCGGCGUCGCACCCUCGCGCGCCCCGCGCCGGAGCCCGCGCCUCCGCCUCCCACUGCCGCUCGCCUGCGCCUCCGCCUCCCGCCGCCGACCGCUCGCGCCGCCCGCUCGCGCUGGGGAAAGGGGGAGAGAGGUGUCCGCGUCCCGCGCCGCCGCCCCUCCGCUCGUGCCCGCCCGCUCCGUCGCCCACCCUCGCCCACGCCGCGCCCCGCGCCGGACCACCCACACUGGGUGAACCUGCGCGCGAGCGCCCGCGCCUACUCGCGGCCCCGACCUCUCGCGACCGGCGCCCGCGUCCGCGGCGGCUCGCCUAGCUCCGCUUCGGCCCGCGCACCCGCCCGCGCCCGCCGCGUGCCCGCGCCGGCCCCCAAGGCCCGCGCCUCGGCCCCUCGGCUCGCGCUCACUCGCUCGGGCUCCCGCUCGCGCCAGCGCCCGCCCUCGCUCAAGCCCCGCGCCCGCGACCGCGAGGAGAGGGGUGAGAGGGGAUCUAGAGAGUGGGGAAGAGAGAGAGAUCGAGUGGAGAGGAAAAGAGGAGGGGCGGGUGUGGAGAGAGAGAAAGUGUAGGAGAGAGAGGAAGAGAGAGAGAGAGAAAGGGGGAGAGAGAGAGAGAUAGAGAGAGGGGUUAGAGAGAGAGAGGGUGUGAAGAGAGAGAGGGGGCACAGAGAGAGAGAACGUGAAGAGAGAGGGGANGGGAGAGAGAGAGAGAUAGAGAGAGGGGUUAGAGAGAGAGAGGGUGUGAAGAGAGAGAGGGGGCACAGAGAGAGAGAACGUGAAGAGAGAGGGGAAAAAAAAAAAAAAAAAAAAAAAAAACCUAUCUAGUAAUAAAUCCCCUUCUAAGAUAUAUUAAUGUGGGGUAUUUACUAAUAAGAUCCCCAAAAACAAAAAAAAAAAAAACUAUAAUACCUGCUGAGUAAUUUACAUUAUUAUAUCAGGAUCCCCUCGGAGGGAUCGAUUGCCGGAGCACCAUUUGCCCCGACUCGUCCUUCUCGAACACCCGAUCGAUCAGCUCGUCCCAGGUCAUCCUUUGCCGGCUCUCCCGCGGCGAGCAGGGAGAAGCGGACUCGCCGUCCCCGCGGACGGAGCUCUCGUCGAACGUGCCGUACGUCGACGGGGACCGCGCGUCGGGCACGUCCAGCGAGACGGCCCGCCGUAGCGCCGCCCUGUGCUCCUCGACGUGCUCCCUUUGCAGCGUCUCCUCCCGCUCCAUCCGUUGUUCCGACGGCACUUCUUUUAUUCGUUCCUUUUCUAGCAUCAACUACAUACAGAAAAUACUGAGAAACUUCGACCCUGAACUUUACCCUUUGUCCCAAUUACCUACCUUGCUCUAUAAUUUUAACUGCGGCAAAGUUUACUGGUGUUGGCAUUGUUUACCUUUUUUUGGUUCUUUUUUUAUUAUUAUUGUUUCAAAUUCUAUGCGCUUAAAGAGUGGAUUAUUUGCGAGCUCUGUAGUUCCCAGAUCUUGUUUUGUUUCGACAAAGCAUGAAUUUGUUGCGAAUCAACCAAAAACAAAAAAGUACAAGUGCUGCUACUCCCUAGAAUCCUUUGUGUCAAGUUCUGCUUCCCGGGGGUCACCCAUCGCCUGCGGCUCGAUUAACUAUUUACUCUAAACCUAAUAACUUGUUGGGCUCAACCCACUAGCCCAAAAUGUUAUUGCCCAGUUACUGUAUACACCCCCACAUCUAAUCAUUAGCUAUUCGAUGUGAAACUAUUCUCAAGCCUUGGGAUGUCGGAUACCAAACUAUCAAGACCUGCUCCCCGGGGGGCCACCUAUCACUUAGCCCACGGCUCAAUUAACUACGUACUCUAGACCUAAAAACUUGUUUGGUCCAAUCCACUAGCCCAAUCUGCUAUAGUCCAAUUAUUGUGUCUAGCCUAUUCAAGCUUAUAUACCCUCACAUCUAGCUAAAACUACUCGAUGUAGGACUAUUCUCAAGCCUUGGGAUGUCACAGUUUACCAUACAAAACUUGAAGGGUGGGGGGGAGGGAAUUAAGGCCAAAUGAGCAAAAAUUAUAAAAACAUUAAGACCAAAUGAGCAAAUAAAAUUCAACUUUUUGCCGCAAGAAGAUAAAGAAUGCUUACAUCCAAUGCUUUCUGGGCUUCCCUGUGAAUCCAGAUGAUGGCAUGGUCGGUCGUGGCAUUGCAGGAAAGAACAAUGUGCUCAAACCUGCCGUCAACCGGCACAGCUGUUUUAACAACUGGGGGGUAUCUUCCACACCUGUAGCAAAUCGCGAGUGCCAAAAGAAGUUAACAUCAAAUAUGCCGAAAGCUAAUGCUUAAAGAUACAGCUAAAGUGCUCAAUUUGCAGCUGUGCUUUUAAAUGAUAUAGUAUUUGUGUAUAUGCCCUUCCAUUUAAGCAUUCUCAGGUCAUGGAUAAUUGAGCUGAUGUGCAUAUAUGUAAAUGGAUUAUUUUGGGAGAUACGGGCGAAAAUUUUAACUCUAGCAGGGAAUACAUACAAAUAUGUAGAUGUUGAGCCAUAUCUGAAAAGCUUUGAAUAAUUUGCUGUAAUGUAAAAAAUGACAUCUUCUAGAGAACUGAAGAGAGAAAAAAGAUUAAGGAUCAUUAAUCACUCUCAAAUCACUGCAGUAUUCACUGAUUCCCGGCUCGUAUAUUCAGCAAAAAUCAGAAUAAUUUUUGUUCAAUAAAAAUAUAGAUUAUGGUAAAUAAACAGCAUUUUCCUUCAUGCCAAAUAAUAGACGUGAAUUACAACAAUCAUGUGAAUUAAAAUGCACGAGUAAGUGACAUAUAAAUGGGUGUACACACUGCAAUUUAGGAAAGUGUUAGAACAAUCAUUAGACCUUAAUUCAUCGAGAAACCAUGAGCUAUACCAGAGUACAAAGAAAGGACAAGAGGUCAAAUUCCGAAAGGGCAAUGCAACUGAAUCGGUUAAUUGCAAUACCUGAACGGUUUUCUCUCCACGAUAUGAUAGAUCCGACCCGGUGCGUAAAGCCUCCUUGGAUCUCUCAACAUGACAUGUUCUGGUAUGCAUGUGUCUGUCAUGCAUCUUAGACAUAGCAGGCAUGGCAAACUGUAGAGAAUUGUUGAGUCAAGUUAGGUGAGUACAUUUUUGUACAACAAUAGGUCGGACAUGAGUUAGUUCGAAAAAUCAUAUUAAGGUGUUCAAUGGACUCUGCAUAAAACUUAUACUGAAAACAAAAACAACGAAUAGAGAAAUGCCACUACUUCACCAGAGGAUUGACUUGAAAACAUCUUCCAAAGGAGUAGCUGUCCGAGGCAAAAAAUCAUCCUGUCAAAAAAAGAAAACAAAAUCCAUUCUUAUCAAGUCAGUAAAGAGACACACAUUCUCGACUGCGACACUACAUACAACAAAAUAUUCCAUUAUUACAUAAAAAAGCGCGAAAGUAAUUAUUUAUGUAGCUGAUAUAAGAACAACGGCGGAGAACAUUUAUUGAAGUAUACCAAAACUAGAUGACUAGGUUCCAUUUGCCAUGUAAGACGCAAAUAAAACAUUUGGAAUUUUUUGUCGACAAAUUCCGUGAUAUAUUCAUCAAAAUGUUGUUCCAAAGAAACCAUCUUCGAUACGGAAUUCUCAAAUUCGGAUUUUCUUACAACAUAUUGUUAAUUCUCUCGUUGCUCGGUCAAAUAAUGGAUACGAUGAGCUCCAACAUUCUACAUUUUGCCCAUACCCUGCUCCUACAAAUAUAUAAUUUGCAAGUGUCUGGCUGCUAUACUACUAUUAGUAUGAUCGUCUACGUUCUCAUAAGUCAUUUUUAAUGAUGGCUUUUAUCGUUAAACAUAACUUAGAGCAUUUAAACAUUCUAGAAAUCGAAUUUCAUGAAUUUUUUUUAUAUCAUAUACCUUGUAUCAAGAGAUAUCAAAAUUGACAAUUUAAACGAACGGUACGUGGCGUUUCCUAGUUUAGCUACUAGUAUAGAAGAAUCGGAAUUCAUUAAAACUUUGCUAGAAAAUUCUAUUCACUAUCUAGAUGAAGAUCAAUAACUCCGAUCUUGAAUUGAGCUACUCGAUCUUCUAUUUUUAGAAGGUCGUUCAUUUCAUACCACCCACAACCCACAACUUCUCGAAUGCUCUAGAUUAUAUUUAACUGCGUCGAGAAUGACCGCGCACUACCCUGGUUUAGUUUGCAGUUCAAAAAGGUAAAUAAAAAGCAUGCAAAAGGUCAUACUUGGAGGACGACGGAGUUGAUAAUGUCGGCGUAGCGAACGGCGAGGUUCAGCGACAUACACCUGGCGGGCGCCAUGGCGUAGCACCUGACGCGCCUCCUGUCGACGUUCCCCAGCUUGUCCUUGUUCUGCACGACGACCAUGGCGAGCAGCGCGGCGACGCCGGCGCCGAGGGAGUGGCCGGCGAAGGUGAGGGUGUAGUCGGGGUGGGUCCGGAGGAGGUCGCUGAGGACGUCGCACUCGGCGUCGAGGACCCAGGCGGCGGCGCGGAGGAGGCCGUUGUGGACGUAGCCGCCGUCGAGCUUGCGCUUGCCGAGGCGGUUGUCGAGGAGGAGGGCGUAGUCGCUCUCGACGGCGAGGUUGAGGCCGCGGAUGGCGAGGACGAUGUCGGCGUGGGGGUGGUCGAGGUAGAUGAGGUAGGGGGAGACGCGGCCGCGGGUCUGGGCGUGGUCGCGGCGGCGGACGACGAGGGCGGGGUCGAGGCCGUAGCCGCCGGGCGGGGGGAAGCGGGGGCGGGCGAGGUCGUCCUCGUAGUUGGCGAGGAUGAGGCGGCACACGCGCGGGACGGGGGCGAACUCCGCGGCGGAGGCGAGGCCCCACGUCGCGCUGUCGUCGCAGCCGCUGUGGAGGAAGCGCUUCCACGCCCACCGCGCGCAGGCGAGGCAGUACACGCACUCCAGCAGCGGCAGCCCCAGCGCCAGGGACAUGGGAGGACGACGACGACGACGACGACGACGACGAAGAAGAUGAUGAUCGGAAUGGGGGAAGCUAGGGUUUUGAAUCCAUUGACGCCCCUCUUUGGGGAAGAAGAAGAAGAAGAGGAAAAGGGGAUUAGGGUUAGGGAUUGGGAAUGAUUAAAAAAAAAAAAAAUGGUGAAUUAAUGGAGUGUUGGAGUGGAGAGAUGCUGUGAGAGAGUAGGAGGAAGGGGACCAAAUUUAGAUGCUUGUUUCAAUAUUCCCUGAAGAAGAGGAAGAAAAGGCAAAAAAGAAAAAAACACUUUAUGGUCCUCAAACUAUGGGAGUGUUUGAUAAUCUUGUACUUAAACUUUAAAUUUAUUAUUGUUGGUAACCGAAAUCUACAAUUUCUGACCCGGUCAAAAAUCCUCCUCGAAGAGCACUCUGUGGAUAGUGACCCUCGAAAUAUGCGCCCUUCGAUUGGUCAAGCGAUUCGGCUGACGAGGGAUCGGGUCAACCGGAUUCGAAACCUCUACAGCAAAUUUGGUUCGGCUGGAUGAACCGAAUGAAUAAGAGAAGUAAGAAUUUCAGCCAAGAAAUAAGCCGAAUGGCUAAUACAGCACAAGAGCUGGUCAGCCUGAAGAGCCGAACACUGCCUUCUAUUGAAAGAGAACGGAAAAAGUAUAGAAAAAAGGGUUUUAGUUUACAACAGAGUGAUGCCCAAAGGGCAGACAGACUCCAGGAUGCUAAAUUACAGGAACUACUCUAAGUAGUAAACGCGAGAAAGAAAGGUGCAGGAAAAUAAAGAUGGUCUUUUGUGUGCAGGGGCGAAGACCCCUUUUUGGAGUAUUAUUACACUAUUUAUAGAUAGCCCCAUCGGUCAGUUAUUGUUCUUACACGAUCGGCCACUAUCUCCUCAUAUUCCGGACCACUUCUAGCCGAUCGGAACCGCAUGUAACUGCUUGCGAUUACCGUAACUUCCUUUAAUUGGCGCGAUACACUUUUCCGAUGCUCCCGAUACACGACCGAAUAGAUGCUUUUGAAGGAAAUAUUCGCACCUAAAUCUCAUCCGCGUCUAAUUGGCUCAACAAUUAUUAUAAUAAUUUUUAAUGUAGAUAUUUUUUUGUUAUUACAAUCGAAUUCUAUAAUCUAAUUUAAUUAGUUAAAUAUUAAUAAAUUAUUAAUAUAAAAGUGAUGUUAAAAAAAUUUUGUGAUCAAUGAUGUGACAAUAAUAAAAGUGCUUGUGUGUUUUUAAAAACAAAUUAGCUUUCAUGCUAUCAAAUUAUUUUCAAUACUGAGAAUUUCGAGUUGGCGAUUGACUCUAUUAAAUUUAAUCUAAAAUAUUAAAGUAGGUGAAAAAUAAAUUUUAUAAUUUUUCGAUAUUAUUUAUUUAGUGGUAAAAAGGCUCAAAUCAAUAAUUUUAAUGGUUGUGAUGAGUUAUUUGCAAGUUUAAGAUAUAAAAAUAUUCAAAUCACGUAAAAUUUUGGUAAAAUAAUUUAGUAUUAAUAUUUUUGAUCUAAAAUUUUAGUAUCGUAUCAUCAAUUUUUGUAAAAAAAAUUUUAAGCCGUCGAUUUUGAACUCUUUUGAUUACUAAAAAAUUACGAAAUUUUCUUUAGUAAUACUUUAAAUACUCAUGUCUAAAACGUCGGCACUCGAUAUGAAAGUUCCUGUAUUAAAAAUAAUUUAAUAGCAUAAAGACUAUCGUACUUCUAAAAGCACAAAAACCAACUCCACAUGGAGAGAGAUAGAGAGAGGGAGAGAGAGAGAGAGUUCUAUUUGGGUGCAAAAACCAACUCCACAUGGAGAGAGAUAGAGAGAGGGAGAGAGAGAGAGAGUUCUAUUUGGGUGCAAAAACCAACUCCACAUGGAGAGAGAUAGAGAGAGGGAGAGAGAGAGAGAGUUCUAUUUGGGUGCUUCUAAUAGCAUCAAGCUGUACUGGGGUGCUUAUAAUAACAUUAAGCACUUGAUGCUAUUAAGUUUUUUAACCGUUAGAUUAUUGAUUUGAUCAUUUUUAAUUCAUUAGAUCACAUAUUAUUCAAACCAAUCAUCCGUUUAAUUCUAGAGGAUCACUAUCAUCCUAACCGCAAAUUGCUUCAUCCAAGAUCGAAAAUUUAAUAAUAUUAAUGAAUUGAUAUUAUUAGAAAUAUUUCAAUAUAUAUAUAUAUAUAUAGAGUCCGGCUACUAUACUAUUGAUAGUACCAAGCUCUUGGUACUAUUGAGUUUUCUACCAUUAGAUCUACCCUUUGAUCAUUUACACCCGUUAGAUUAUACUAUUAAACCAACCAUCCACUCAACUCUAGGGGAUCACUAUCAAUUUAACCAGGAACCACUAUUAUCCUAACCGCACAUCCUUUCAUCCAACGGCCAAAAUCUCAAUAGUACCAAUGGCUUGGUACUAUUGAUAGUAUAGUAGCAUAAUUCAUAUAUAGUUGAGCUAAAAUACUAUCGGUAGUAAACGAGCCGUUUUACUAACGAUUUAUUUUCGAUGAUAGAGCUUCCAAAUUAACAAUUGGCUCCAUUAUAUAUGAUCUAAACCAUUUAAACUACCUAGAAAUUAAAUUUCACGCACUUUCGAUAUUGUUUUUUUACCCAUCAAGUGAACAGAAAAAUGAAUGGCUGAAAAUGAAUACUCUUUAAAAAAUGAUAAUAGGAGUCUUGUAAUCAAGAUCAAGAGUAUAGAUCUUGUUUUAAAUAGUUUAAAAAAUUUUCUAACAAAAAUUUAAUUGAUUUGAAUAUCUUUACGCCGUUAAACGAGAAAACGCCUCUUAUCGACCAUUAAAAUUAUAAAUUUUGAAACCCUUUGAUCAUUAGGCAAAUGAUGUCGAAAAGAUUUGAAAUUUGAUUUCUAAACACUUCAAGUGGUAUAGAUUAUGUUCAACGGAGCCGAUCGUCAAUUUGAAAGUUCUAUCAUCGAAAACAAAUCGAUAGUAAAAUUGCUCGUUUACUACCGAUAGUAUUCUAGCUCAACUCUCUCUAUAUAUAUAUAUAUAUAUAUAUAUAUAUAUAUUUGUACUCUCACUGUGAGAAAAAGGAAAUCCAAUAACUUUCUAGAAUAUUCUGGGUAUAUUUGCAAAAGUCCCAAGAUUAUUCUGGUCCUUUUUGACGUUUGUGCCACGUGGGCCAUUGUGGGCCCAAGUUUCAUAGGCAUGGGAAGAGGAUAAAAGGUUUACGUGAACCUGGUCUAUAGACCGGACCUAUUCGAGAAAAAGCUAUUCAGGUUGCUGCCUUGCGAAUAGCGGGUCUACAGGUGACAUGGUAGACACUUUUGUCUACAGACAAAUGAUUUGCAUGAACCGACCAAGUGUGGGCCCCACUAUUUCUCUCCGGAUUCUUCGUUUCAAUAAUUGAAAAACACAAAAAAAUAAAUAAAUAAAAAUAAAAUUUUAAAUAAAAAAAGUAAAUCAUCUCAUCUGUCAUCUCGCUGAAGGCUUGAUCUACAAUCAUUUUACUCAAAAAUUAUAAUUUUUUUAAGGCCAGUUUGCAAAAGAAAUUCAUAAAUUUUGAACUUUUUAAAAUUAGGCCGUCUUUUUUGAUUUUAUAGGUUCGGUCCAAAUUUUCAGCAAACUGACCAAAAUCUACUCUUUCUCUUUCCUCUUCUUUUCUCUCGUUCAUUUUUUUUUCUCUCGCCGAAAAAAGCAGCUGAGGCAGAGGCGUAGGCGGAAACGACCCGCCUCACUUCUCACCGUCAUGCUCUUGCCCUCGCCCUUUCCCUCAUCCGCGCACCCCCCACAUUCCUCACCUCCGACCACGCCGAGACCGCACCGUGACUUUUUUUUUUUUUCCUCUCCGACUCUUCUCCACCGUCUCCGACGACGAUGCCUCUCUCGCCCUUCCCCGCCCUUCUCGUCCUCUCCCUCUCCCUCCUCCUCUGCCGUCUCCGACAACAACGCAUCUUCGCCGACGCCGAUACCGUGGAGGUCACUGCGGCGCUGCAGCCUCGAAGCCGAGGAUCUUUAGCGAUGUCGUCGCCAUUGGCAGAGAGGGGUGACAAAAAAAAAUUAUAGAAAAAGUAAGAAAAAAAAUAAAGAUAAAAUAUUAUAGAAAAAAAAGAUGAAAAUGAAGUUGCACCGUUAAAAUAAAAUUGCAUUGUUUUAAAAGAACGUUGCACUAUUAUGAACAUAAGUUGCACUACUUAAGAUAUAAACUGCAGCUUUAAGAUAAAAAUUACACUCUUUAAACAAAAAUUACAUUCUUUGUGAGAUAUUUACACUGUUUUUUCUCUUAUUGCACUCUUUCAGAUGUAAACUGUAAUCAUUAAAAUGAAAGUUACACUCUUUAAACGAAAUUUGCACUAUUUGAGAGAUAUUUACACCAUUUUUUCUCUUCUUGCAUCAUUUGAGAUGUAAACUGCACCUCUUUGAGAGAUAUUUAUACUAUUUCUCUUCUUGUUGCACUAUUUUUUCUCUUGUUCCACUAUUUCUUCCCUUGUUACACUAUUUUUUCUCUUAAACUGCACCAUUUAUACUAUUUUUUUUCUUGUUUCGUUGAUAAUUAAGCCUUAAAUUUUUAUUCGAAGUAUCUUUCAACAGGUACGAAGAUAAUUUCUCCAAGAAUGUUAAUAUAGAAAAGGUCGAGUUUCGUCUGUACGGCGGAACUGAACUUCACACGUGACCAGAGUGAAAGUCACGAAUUUGUGCCAUACGCGAACUCACCGUAAAUUAUCAAACGAAAGAGUAUAUAUAAAAAAACGUAGAAAUUUUAGACGAGUAAAUUUUAUCACUUCAAACUUUUAAGAAUAAAUAUAAAAGUUAGAUAUUUUUAAGGGAUACAUGAGCAAUUAUUUCUCUUCCAAAUUAUUUGGUAUAAAUUUCGUAUUUAAAAAAUAUAAAAUUUUAUUUUCCUUAAAAUUUUGCUUGAUUCAACGGCCUUAUUAAGAUACGGUCUCUAAACGGGCCAAAAGUCGGCCCGCUAAAGCCCAUUUUAAGGGAGAAACCAUAGCCUGGACCGGAUGUACCACGUCAUCUUUGAACCGCUUGCUUUAUUUAUUUAUUUAUUUUUUCGCCUCUAGGGUUUUACGACCCAUUCAUUCACUCCUAUGUAUAUAUAUAUAAACGGAGACGCCUCCUCCCUCGCGGAGUCGCAAUCGCUUCCUCAAAAAGCUAGGGUUUUUGCAUCAGGACGAAGCCGAUCUAAGGUACUGAGCACUGCAACAGCUUCUUCUCCCAGGGCUUUUCCUCAAAUCGGCUUCUCCAAAUCCCCCUCCUUUUUUAAAAAAAGUUUUUUUUAAAAUUUUUCUUUGUGGUGCGAUUCUCUUUGGAAUGAAUGGAAUUAGGGUUUUUCCUUUUCUUUUUCCUUUUUUUUUUUUGGUUUUGGUUUAACAAUUCAUCGUUUGCGAUGAUGAAUCCUUAAUGGAGGAAUCUGAAAUUUUGGGGGGAUUUAUUCCACCCAAAAAAAAAUGAUUACUUUUCCAAAACUGCAAAGGAUUUCUGAGCAAAUGCCAUUUUUUUUGUAAAAAAAUAAAUGAAGCGGGAGUACUUUUUUUUUUCUUUGAUCUGUUUGAUUCAUCAAAAAUUUGAAUGGUGCGAUAAAUAAGGAUCAAAAAUAGAAUUAAAAUUAACUCAUUCCAAAUCUAUCCCGAUCCGAAAUUUUGAAAAAAUUGGUAUUAAUUUUGAAAAAAUUAGCAUUAAAAUCCGCCAGAAGCUAUCAAAUUAUAAUGGUGAUCAUCAUCUUUAUAAGUAGGUAAAGGUCGGAGAUGGCGUGAUCUAUUUUAUUAAAAUUACAUUAAUUUGGAUGGUUAACACCUAAUGGCGCAAUUAACCUAAACAAUUUUAUUCUCUAUGCAAUUAAAUUUUUGGUAAAAUUAUAUAAAAUUUAUCUGAGUAUGGACAAUUUUGAUUGGAUAUUUAAUUUUUCAAAAUUUUGAUUUUGUUAUCUAAUUUAUUAAUUUAUUUGAUUUAGUUAGUGUAAUUUAGGAAUAAUUGCGUGUAUGCUCUUCAAAAUCUCAAAAAUAUUUAAUUUAAUUUAUUUUUUGUUUCUAAUAUAUUUCACAUAUAUUUUUUUAUUCAAAAAUAUUUUUGCAGUUAUCACCUAUUAAUUUAUUUCGAGUUAACGUGAGUUAAAUAUUUACUAGAAUUAAAAAAUAUUUUUUUAUCUUUAAUUUAAGGACAAAUAAAAAAAAGUUAAUAAUGAUAGAAUAGUAUGAUUUCGUUUGGGAUUGCGAAGAGAUUGUGUUACGUGUGGUAUAAGAAAAUACUCUAUUUUUUUCCAUACGUAAUAUUGCGUUCCGCACAUCGUAAUUAAACUUUGUUUGGGAUUGCUGAGAGAUUGCAUUACAUGUGCUGAGAAAGUACGAUGAGAAAAUAUCAUGUUUUUUUUCAUACGUAAUAUUGCAUUCCGCCGCGAUGAGUCACCGCGAUGAGUCAGCUACAAUAUAUUUUCUACGGUCUCACCGGAAUGCAUAAGCAUAUUUCUAUAUGCCUUUACCCUAAUUCUAUUUUAUCUAAUAACAUCAAAUGGACUAAGCCUUAGUCGGUUAUGAUAUAUCUUUUACGGUAUCCCAACUCCAUUUUUUCUAAUAGUAUAAGAUGGACCUUAAUAUAUUUUUUGCGGUUCCACAAAAAAUAUAUAUUUUUAUAUAUUUUUAUCCUAACUCUAUUUAUCUAAUAGCAAUAGAUAGAUCUCAAUACUAAAUUAAACCUAACAAUUUAGAAAUAGAAUUUAACUCUAUUUUACGUAAAUAACGAUUACAACUAGUGGUUCGGUAACAAAAUUUAACUCUAGGAAUAUUUUUGAAAUAAUAUAGGGCAUAUUUGAAAUAAUUUGAAAUUUUAAAAAAGUAUUUUUAAUAUUAGCUUUCUAAGAUUUGAAAUAACUUGAAAUUUAAAAAAACAUUUUUAAUAUUAGUCUUCUGAUGUAAACUUAAAAGUUGGAAAUUUUUCAAAAUUGCCUCUAUAAUUUAUUUAGUUUUUAUAAUUAAAAAUUAUAAAAAUAAUUAAUUAAUUUAAAUUUAAAUUUAAAAAUAUUAUUUACCGACUUAAAUUAAAUGUAUUAAAAGAGUGAAUAAUAAAAUUAAAAUUACAGAGAUUGGAUAUCGAAUUUAAAUAACUUUUCUAAGGAAGACCAAGCGCGGCCGAUUCGAACCAAACCGGUUUAACAGCCCGUUCGCAAAGACCGGCUCCCCCGGUUUAACUUAAACUGGAAAAAGGCGAAGUUCGAGAGCAUCAUUCGAUCAAACCAAAGGGAAUCGAAAAGGGGGGCGAAAUUACCUCACCCUAAUCCCAGUUAAUCUCCUCAAUCCCUUCUACUUCUCUCUUCUUCUUUUUUUUACCUCUUUUUUUUAUCUUUGUAGAUUUCAUGACACAAUCUCAAUUACCUUUACUUUUUGUCUUUGUUUCUGUUUUUUUUUCCCUUAAUUAUCACAACUGGUACUCCAAAUUUUCUAAUUUGAAGCGAUUUUUCUCUUCAAAUUUGGAUUUUUUUUUCCUGUGUGUUGACAUGUUCUAUGUUGUUUAAAUCUUGUGUCGUGUGUGAUUAGGUUUCAAGUAUUUGCGAUAAAGAUCGCGUAGAUCUACACAUCUAGUUUUGGGGCGAUUUGAUUUGGGUUUCUGUAACUGUUAUUUCAUGCAGCAUAAGAAUUAAGGUUUGGAUUUAAAGUUGUUGUUUAGGCUAAUUUUUUGCAUAAUUAUCUGCAAUAGGGCAUUAAAUUUGUCCUUGGUUUGAUCAGUAAUUUGUCCUCUUCAUCCUCAUUUUGUGCACGUAAGGUGUUUGUGGAAAUGCCCUAGAGAGAACAUUGUUGCAUCUCUAGCUAUAUCAGUCCAUUUGCUUAUCUGUGGAAGCAUCCCACAUUUUUGGAGCAGCCAUUGCCUGAACCCGAUCUACGCAGCCGCUCGCGGAUGGUUCAGUUUAGUGCAAUGCAUAUCACUAAACAAAGGCAUGUUCUUGUGUAGACUCUGUCCGCCGAGCAACAUACAUUCGACGCUCAUCAAAAUGCGACUAUUUGCAUUUGGAUGGCAAUGAAAGAAAAAUAAUUGUCGGGACCUCCUCGAAUUUGAACUCGGCAGCAUAUGAAUUUGAGUUCAGUUUUGGUCCAUGUGGUAUGCGAGGUACAUUGAUGAACUUUUCCUAAAUAAGGAAGCUUCUUCGACCGCACAGGUAUAUGUUGCAGAUUUGCACUUACCAAAAAAUAUCGAUUCAUGCCUACUAGUUCUGUCAGUAAGCUGUUAUUAAACAUAGUUUGUAGCUUAUGCAAGGAGUUCGUCUAGUGGUGAUAUAGAUGAAAAAUGUAAAGAUCACUUUUCUCAGUCAAAUUUGAUGUAGCUCGAUACUCCUGAUAGAUACAUCUUAAUUCUUCGUCAAUCUCAGAAACAAAUUUCUCGGCGACUAACAGACCUGGAUCAAGUAUUUACAUAUUUCUUUUUUUCCAAUUCAUUUGCAUAAUAGCUGGUCUGAAGACUCUCCACCUUGAGUUAUCAGCAGUUUUCUCAGCAAAUCCGACGUCAGCAAGCGAAGGUCAAUUGAAGUUUCUGCAUGCUUCUUCCCAUGCAUUCCUGAUCACCUACGACUAAAGCAAAAAACUCUACCUGCUGUUACUAUUUGUAGCAUGGAACCGGAGUCAUCUCAUGUUCCACUAAUACCUGGUCUUCCCGAUGAUAUUGCUCUUCUUUGCUUAGCUAGGGUUCCUCGGAGAUACCAUCAUGCCCUGAGAUGUGUUUCGAGAAGAUGGAGAGGGUUAUUAUGUAGUGAAGAGUGGCGCUUAUGCCGCCAAAAGAACAAUUGGGAGGAGACUUGGGUUUAUGCCGUGUGCAGGGACAAGAACAAAGGUGUACAAAUUUAUGUGCUGGAUCCAGAUCGUGCAAGCCGGUGUUGGAGAGUCAUACAAGUUAUUGAAACUCCAUGGAUGAAGCGGGAAGGCGUGUCCUUUGAAACUUUGGGUAAGAAGUUAUAUCUCUUCGGAGGUUGCGGCGGAGGGAAAAAUGCCGUUGAUGACGUAUAUUGUUACGAUGCUUCUGCUAAUCGAUGGGAGACAGUGGCACGAAUGCCAACAGCCAGGUAAUGUGUUAUGCUUGGCUCUUUAAUUGUUCCGUAUUGCAUCUUAGUAUAGACUUUUUCUUUUUUAGUUCUGAGAUAUAUAUAUAUAUAUAUAUAUAUAUAUAUAUAUAUAUGUAAAUUUAUCCUGCAAGAUUUUCUAGUAUCUAUAUGUGUUGGAUAUCUGAAUUUCAUAUCUGAAACUUAAUCUCUUAUGCAUAGACCCCUUUAUUUACACAAGUGCCCAUUUCACAAAUAUUUUAAUAUGUUUGCAGCGACGAUAUUGCAGGUACGCAAAUGUAAAAGCCGCUUUUUCUUUAAAUCUCGAGCGAGUAAGUGGAUCUUUUCCUUCACAAAGGAUGAAGGGCAUUUGGAACUUACUAACUCCUGUUUGUUUCAAAAUAGGCAUUUUUGAUCGUCCUUCUAGAAGCCCAUGAAGACAUUUGACCCUUGGCUGUGAUUCAUAGAUAUCUGGCUCAAUAUGAUCUCAUAUUUGUGGAUUGUACUUAAAACUUUUCAACAUCUGUAAACAACAAAAUUUACGAAAAUCAAUUGAUCGGAAAUUGUUAUAUGCGUAUCAGGUGCUAUUCUGUCUCGACAUCUGUAAACGACAAGCUUUACGUCAUGGGCGGGCUUGGGUCAGAUGGCGCUGCACCGAAUUCUUUGGACGUCUUUGACUCCGAUUCGAAUACUUGGAGCUCGCACGAGAGCUCGAUGCUCACCCGCAAUGUUAUAAAGAUCAUUCCGGUUGAUGAGAAGUUAUAUACUGUGCACAACGAGACGGAGGAUGGCUAUCCCUUUGCCGGAGUUUACGAUCCCUUGUCCAGAAGCUGGCAUGCUGAAGAGAAUGGUAUUGCAGUGUGCUUCUACGGGCCAACGGUCGUUAUCGAUCGGACCGUUUACAUCAUGUUAGAUCAGUAUCUGGGGCCGAGGCUGAUGAUGUGGCAGGAAGAGACCAGCUGGGACCCACUGGGGAGGUUGUCGUACCUACUGGCGAGGCCGCCAUGUCAGCUCGUGACUAUCGGGAGGAGCAUAUUUGCGAUAGGGAGGGGGCUAAGCACGGUGAUCGCCGACGUGGACACAGCCGCUAAGGUUCCGGGGUUUUUAGUGUGCUCUUCGUUCCGACCGAUAUUCGAAGAUGAUUUUAAUGUCAUUAGCUGCAAAACUAUCACCAUUUGAAAUGACCUCUGUAAGAUAUCUAUUUUGCUUUCAUUUGGAUAUUUAAAUUUAAAUAAUAUUCAUAUGAAUCAUGUUCUUUUCCAAAUCUCUUCCUCAAAGCUUUGGCAAAGUGAUCUAUAUAAUGUGUUGCUUACAAUACUUCAUUGUGCCUAACCACCAGGUAGUGAUGUGAACUUUUGUGUUGUGAGGGAGUAGUUUUGUUCAAGUGAAGUUUUAGAUAUAAGAAAUGUAGGGCUUAUUUGGUUUUGCUUUAACAUGUAAUGUUAUUUGAUGAACUGUUGUCGGAGCAGCGCAUGUAGGAGAACUAUGGAUUUAUUAUGGUUUUUUUUUUUUUUUGAAUCGGCUAUCCAGCUUUUUAAAAUUUUGAUUUUACUAUCUAUUUUUUUAAUUUAUUUGAUUUGAAUUGGUCAAUAAUAUUUUAAUUUUACAAUUUAAUCUAAUUAUUUAUUUAAUAAAUUUAUAUUGUGAUAAUUAUAUAAAGCAUUCUAACGAAAUAUAUAAAAUAAACGACACAUUUAAAUUUCUUUAAAUUAAAUGUCGUCGACAAUCUUAAAUCAAUUAAAUUAAAAUAAAAUUAAAAUUUUAAAGGAUUAGAUAACUGAUUUAAGAUGGCCUAUAGUUCAUAUAAUUUUUGUAAGUUUUUUAUUUUGUUUUUUUCCAACAGCAAAAUCAUAAGCAUCUCAAAACAUGCCAUAAUUCCCCCUUAGGUAAUGUAAAGGUAAUGUAACAUCACUAUUAUUAGCGCAUCAUUAAUCACAAUAUUAUUAAAUUAUUUUUGUAUUGAUGAUAUAUUAAUAUUUAGUCACCUAAAUUAUUAUGUUACAGAAUUUAAUUAUAAUAAUUUUAAAAUUUGAGCUAAAGAUUAAACAAAUUAAAAUUUGCCACGGACUUUAUAGUUUGAAGAGCAAGUGCACAAUUCACCAUUAUUUUUAAGUCCAAACCAUGUCAUCUCGAAAUUAUAAGGUCAGAGAUUUGAAUCACCGUUUCAGUAAAGUACAAGAAUCGCUAACUGAUUCAAAAAUCAACCACGCCAAGCAAAAUCAAAACUUCAAAAACAUGCAUAGUCGUCCCAAUAGUUCAGAUCAAUUCCACACUUUCUUUUUUUUUUAAAAAAAAAAAACUAAUUUAUUUAAGUUAAAGAAACCAAAGGAAGAAAAAAAAAAAAAAAAAACUCGUAACACAGGAAUUUCAUCAAACAGGUACCGUGCGUGUACGAGGCGCGCCCCCAACGCCACUGCUCAGCACCCAUAUAUCUCCUUGAGCUUCGCCGCGGCCGAUUCGUCGAUCGAGUACUACAAACACAAAACACGCACAAAAGAAAUAAGAAAAAAGGGGUUUGGGGAGAGAGAGAGAGAGAGAUUAGGGUUCGCAUGUAGGUAGGGUUUUGAGGGGAGGGGGGGGGACCUUGUUGAGGACCCAGGUGGAGUGGGCGUAGGCGCGGCGGAGGAGGUCGGGGAGGGAGGUGGAGGGAUCGGCGUCGCGGUAGUUGACGAAGUUCUCGCGCGCGUACUUGGCGUAGUAGGCGCGCGUCUCCGGGGGGAGGCGCCGCACGAGUCGCAGCACCUCCAUGUACGCUCGGAGCCCCUUCUUCUCCAUUCGCCCCGCCCCCUUCCGAGGAACACUUACUUCACUGGGGAGCUCUCAAAAAUACCUACGACUUUAAAUUAAGGUUAUAAAUAGCGGGUAUUUCGUAGAGUCUUAUAGCGAAAAGCGGAUAACAUAGCAGAAGCUAUCAGUUAUGUAGAGUCGUGUAGCGAAAAGCGGAUAGCAGAUUUCAUAAAUAAAUUUAAGGGAAAACUUUAAAAACCCGCCGUGAUUUCGUAGUUUCUCAUUUUAUUCCCUGUGGUUUAAAAUGUAUCAAAUUGCCCCAUGUGGUUUCGUUUUUAUCCUUUCGGUAGCUUUUUCGUUAAUAUUUUAUUAAAUUAUAUACAAAAAACUUUAAAUACCCAUCUAGAUUUAUCAAAUAUUCAUUUUAGUACCCUUUAAAUUAAUUUUAUCACUGAUUUAAAAAUAAUAAUAAUAAAAUUGAUAAUAAAAAGAAAAAAAAAUCACAAUGGGGCAAAUUGAUAUAUUUUAAAUCAUAGGGGGGCAAAGUGAGAAACUACGAAACCACAGGGGGGUUUUUUAAAAUUUUUCAUUAUUUAAUAUAUUUAUAUUUUUUAUAAAAAAAUAUAUGGCUAAAUUAUAGAAAAUUUUUUAUUAGUAACCGUUUUUCAAUUUUUCUCACUGGUAUUUAAAAACCUACACUUUGUCUUCUUAAAAAGUAAAAAAUGCUCAUUUUAACCCAUCAUCGGUAUUCUUUUAGAGUUUCGUUUAUAUCCUUUUUUUUAUACCCAAAAUAUUUUUGAAAUCCUCUUCAUUUUUCAUCCUCGGCUGCGUCACCUCGCCCUCCACUGCGCCGUCUCGCCCUCGCCCACCUCUCCGUCCACACCAACCUUGAAGAAAAUGGGGGCAAUUUAGUUAUUUUUUCACAGCGUACAUCUCUGUGAACAUUUCUCUUUUUUUAAGGGGAUAAACGGUAGGUUUUUGAAUAAUAGGAUGGAAAAGUCAAAGAAAAUAGAUAUUGAUAUGAGGAUUUUCUAUAAUUUAUCCAAAAUAUAUAUAUAAUUUGAGUAGGUCUUGUGUGCUUUUAGGAGCACGGAGGUCUCCGUGCUCCUAAGCCGUUUUCGAUGAUAGAGCUUCCGAAUCGACGAUCGGCUCCGUUAGACUUGAUAUAGCGUAUUUGAACUAUCUAGAAAAUAAUUUUUGUAAUUUCUCGGUAUCAUUUUCCUAGCGAUCGAAAGGGUUCAAAAUCAACAAUUUUUAAUGGUUGAUGUAUACCGUUUGCAAGUUUAACGAUGUAGAAGUAUUUAAAUCAGAUAAAAUUUUGAUAGAAAAUUCUUAAUACUAUUUACGGUAAGAUCAAUAUCUUUAAUCGAAAAUUUUAAUGCUAUAUCACAAUUUUUUGUGAGAUUUUUAUUUUCAGCCGUUGAUUUUGAACACUUUCCAUCGUUAGGUAAAUGAUAUCUAAAAAUCGCAAAAUUUUUUUUUCUGGAUACUUCAAAUACGCUAGAUCAAGUAUAAUGGAGCUUAUCGUCGAUUCAGAAGCUUUAUCAUCGAAAACGGCUUAGGUGCACGGAGGCCUCCGUGCUCCUAAUAGCACACAAGACCUACUCUAUAUAAUUUUGAAGAAAAGAACUAAUCUUUUAGCA